UUUUUUUUUGUUCCUCCAUCUCACGGAUUCACGGUUGCUUGACUUUUGCAUCUUUUAAUAUUUCCUUUUGCCCUAGGGCUUGUAAUAAGGACAUCUCCAACUGCGUGCUUUAAGUUCUCCAAAAGAAACUCGGACACACUACAUGUCCGUGGACGCGUUUGAACACAUAAGUCGGCCAUCCCUAUGUUCCAGAGCACUCGAAAGAAUUGUAGAAAAAAAAUCAUAAUUCAGCCAUAAAUAGCAUGCAAGCGUUCUAGUGCAACAAUAGUUCAAAUAUAAAUAUUAUAUUCAAAAUUACCGAAUGUUCAACAAAUUGUAUGGCACGAAGUGUUGUUCAUCCACACAUUGUCCCUUGAGUUUCAUCCAACAAUAGAUCUACAUAAAUGGUCUCCCCUACGUUGUUUGAUACGGUGCGGCAGCGCAUCCGGGCUAUACAAUAAGGUGAUCGUCAACAUGAAUGGCCUGCCCUUGAUUGAGUGAAUCAAUAAAUUGACCAACAUGUAGAGCAACAAGAAAAAAACUUACGAUUUCCACGAUUGACGCGUCGAUGGCCACCCUCUUUCAACCCAUGUGAUCGCACUGCAGUACUUCAUGACUUUGAGAUGGUGUACUACAGAUGGGCUAGCGACUUCACAUUGUGUUCAUCGAUCAUGUGCAAGUUGUACGUAGGGUGCAAAGUGCUUUUGGUCGUGAACCAGGAAUGCACCUUUUGCAAAAACAUCGUGCCCCCUUGCUUCAUGCCUACAAAGUACACACUUCUGACCAACCAGGCAACGUACAACAGCUCAUUCUCCAUCAUCGAGUACGCCGUCAUCGUGCUUGCUUCGAAGUAAAAACAUGGUAAAUUCUCAUUGGCAUUUGGCCAAAUAAUUGUCGGGUGUGGUGUCUGCCAUGGACGGCGUUGAAAGGGGGGGCGGAUACCUGGCUGCGGACGGAUCUAGGGUGACUGCGGUGUAGUCCAAGACAGGCAUCCGGCAAGGCAUGGUCGGUGUCCGGAGUGGUAGAGCGGUGGCGUCGAAUUGGGAGAGUGCGGCUACACAGCGCGNNNNNNNNNNNNNNNNNNNNNNNNNNNNNNNNNNNNNNNNNNNNNNNNNNNNNNNNNNNNNNNNNNNNNNNNNNNNNNNNNNNNNNNNNNNNNNNNNNNNNNNNNNNNNNNNNNNNNNNNNNNNNNNNNNNNNNNNNNNNNNNNNNNNNNNNNNNNNNNNNNNNNNNNNNNNNNNNNNNNNNNNNNNNNNNNNNNNNNNNNNNNNNNNNNNNNNNNNNNNUACUUUGGUUCUGCCAUACGUGAUACAGACACUGGCCAAUUUUUGUCUGCCCAGUGCACAUGUCUGUGUGUCGUUGGCGGGCUACGCAUGAUGCAGAAAUCACAUAGCAGUUAUAGGCAAUUCGUAGCAUGGAGUCGUUUCGCCCAGAGGUCUAUGAAAGACAACUAUACCCAAAAAAAAUACAUCUUUGAUCUCUCUCUCGUUGUCACACAUUUCCCGGGGAUAACCGAACAAUGAUUUUUAUAGAUGUAUCUUUGGCAUCUAAGUUGCCGCGUACAGUCAGAAUUAUAGUCAUGCUAGCUUGUGUAUUCCUAUGAACGUUUCUUUUUUUAGGGGCACUCCUAUGAACGUAAUACUGUAUACUCCCUAUGUAAACUAAUAUAAGAGCGUUUAGAUCACUACUUUAGUAUUUAAAUGCUCUUAUAUUAGUUUAGGAGGGAGUACUUGACAAAAAAAGUUGUUCGUUUCAAAAAAUAUAAAAAAUAUCAGCUAUGUCAAGGACAGACAGUCACACAUACAUGUGAAUUUUGGUGUAAAAUUGUAAUAAUCCAUGAGCCAAUAUUAAUCACAGACUAAGUUCUUGUACAAUCACCUCCAACUUAAGUCACUCGGCUUAAAACCGUGUAUGAGUUAUUGUACGCACAUAUGCUCAUAGAAAAAUGUAUGCUUAUGCCUUAUGUUUCUACUUGUGUUGUAUAUGCACCAGUGUUAUUACGUUCUUUUUUAGCCUAGAGGUAUGAUUUUUCAUAAAGUUCCGUUAUUCGGUUCAUAUAGGGCGAUCUCUAUUUGGCGCAUAGGUCACCAUCGAGCGACCUAGCACGCAACCCCUCCAACGCAGGAUCCAGUUUUUCGGGUAGCCAAUUUAGGGUUUAUUCCCCACCAUUUUUUUCAAAAAAAACAGCAUUUUUUUCUUUCUUUCUUUACCUUUCCUUUUUUUUCAUUUUUUAUUUUUUGAGUUUUCCUUUUUAUUUUAUUUCCCUUUUCAUUUCUCUUUCUUCUUAUUUUUUUCAAGAGCAUCUAUCAAAUUUGUGAAAAACAAAUUGAAGUUCUUACCAUUUUUUGAAAUCCUAAAAUGUUUCCUUGAACAUUUUUUUGAAAUCAUGAAUUUCUGAAAAACAAAUUGUGAACAUUUUCUAAAAUCAUUAACAUUUUUCACAAAUUUAGGAACAUUUUUAUAAAUUGUGAACGUUAUUUUGAAACUCGUGAAUGUUGUUUGAAUCAGCAAACAGUUUUCGAAUUUUGGGAACAAUUUCACGAACAUAUUUUGUUAUGUGAACAGUUUUUUUUAAAUGCAUGAAUAUUUUUUGAACUGAAAAUCUCAAAUUAUUUAAAUUCACCCAAAAAUCCCAAAUUUUUAAAAUAAAUUCACGAACAUUAUAUAAAUUCUGGAAAAAAAUUUAAUUCAUGAAUAUACAAACAUUUUAAAAAAAGUCUGAACAUUAUUUGUAUAUGUGAUUUUUGAAAUCAUCAAUAUUUUUUUCAAUGCACGAACAUUUCAUGAUUUCUUGAAUAAUUAUUCAAAAUCAUGAACAUUUUUUUCUGAGUUCAUGAUCAUUUUAUGAUUUCUUGAGCAUUCUUUUUCAAUCUGCAAUUAUUUAGAAAUUUGGAACUUUUCUGAAAACCUGAAUUAAAAGGAAAUAAAAACAAAAAAUAAAAAAUAAUAGGGGGCCUCCUGUCCCGCAGAUUAGCCGGCCCAACAGGAGUGUGGGGCGCGGUGGAACUCAGUUGUCAUCGUGAACAAACUCAAACCAAUUUCGACAGCUCGUGUUGCGGGGCACAUAUGACACGUUUGCCUAUGCAGGGAUGUUACAAUUCCUCAUUCACUAGGCGUCGAACACAAGACCAGACUUGUCAUUUGGAUGCCCUAGUGCUAACCAGAUGGACCUAACUAGAGUCAAAUAAGUACCUACACUGGUAUAUAUUGCAUAUCACAAAAGUCAUUAAUUAUGAAGGCAUAAACAUCCAAAAUGUAAUUUUAAUUAUAAAAUUUUGUCAUAAUACAUCAUGUAUAUGUGAUUAUAAUAUACAAUUGAUGGUUAUAACAUGCAUGCUCUCCAACAUAAACAAACAAUUAAUGAAUAUAGUGUUGNNNNNNNNNNNNNNNNNNNNNNNNNNNNNNNNNNNNNNNNNNNNNNNNNNNNNNNNNNNNNNNNNNNNNNNNNNNNNNNNNNNNNNNNNNNNNNNNNNNNNNNNNNNNNNNNNNNNNNNNNNNNNNNNNNNNNNNNNNNNNNNNNNNNNNNNNNNNNNNNNNNNNNNNNNNNNNNNNNNNNNNNNNNNNNNNNNNNNNNNNNNNNNNNNNNNNNNNNNNNNNNNNNNNNNNNNNNNNNNNNNNNNNNNNNNNNNNNNNNNNNNNNNNNNNNNNNNNNNNNNNNNNNNNNNNNNNNNNNNNNNNNNNNNNNNNNNNNNNNNNNNNNNUUUUAUGAUUUCUCGAAUAAUUAUCCAAAAUCAUGAACAUAUUUUUCUGAAUUCAUGAUCAUUUUAUGAUUUCUUCAGCAUUCUUUUCAAAAUCUGCAAUUAUUUAGGAAGUUGGAACUUUUCUGAAAACCUGAAUCAAUUGAAAAGGAAAUAAAAAUAGAAAAUGAAAAAUAAUAGGGGGCCUCCCGUCCCGCAGAUUAGACGGCCCAACAGGAGCGUGGGGCGUGGUGGAACUCAGUUGUCAUCGUGAACGAACUCAAGCCAACUGAGUUCCACAGCUCGUGUUGUAGGGCGGAAACGACACGUUUUCCUAUACUGGGAUGUUACAAUUCUCCAUUGACUAGGCGUCGAACACAAGACCAGACUUGUCAUUUGGAUGCCCUAGUGCUAACUGGGUAGACCUAACUAGAGUCAAAUAAGUACCUACACUAGUAUAUAUUGCAUAUCACAAAAGUUGCUAAUUAUAGAGGCAUAAACAUCCAAAAUGUAAUUUUAAUUAUAAAUUUUUUUCAUAAUACAUCAUGUAUAUGUGAUUAUAUGAUACAAUUGAUGAUUAUAACAUGCAUUCUCUCCAACAUAAACAAACAAUUAAUAAAUAUAGUGUUGUGACACGUGGGGGGAGGGGCCAGUUGCCCCCCCCCCCCUCCAUCUCAAUGUGCGAACAUUUCAUGAUUUCUCGAAUAAUUAUUCAAAAUCAUGAACAUUUUCUACUGAAUUCAUGAUCAUUUUAUGAUUUCUUGAGCAUUUUUUUCAAAAUCCACAGUUAUUUAGAAAGUUGGAACUUUUCUGAAAACCUGAAUUAAAGGAAAUAAAAACAGAAAAUAAAAAAUAAUAGGGGGCCUCCCGUCCUGCAGGUUAGCCGUCCCAACAGGAGCGUGGGGCGCGGUGGAACUCAGUUGUCAUCGUGAACGAACUCAAACCAACUUCGACAGCUCGUGUUGUAGGACGCAAACGACACGUUUGCCUAUACAAGGAUGUUGCAAUUCUUCAUUCACUAGACGUCGAACACAAGACCAUACUUGUCAUUUGGAUGCCCUAGUGCUAACAGGGAGCCGGAUCCCCUGACGUACGGCCCCCUACCGUUGGGCCGCUGACGGGUGGGUCCGGACCCACACGUCAGUGUGUGGGCCGUACGUCAGACGAGCCGCGUCCGUGCUAACAGGGUAGACCUAACUAGAGUGAAAUAAGUACCUACACUUGUAUAUAUUGCAUAUCACAAAAGUCAUUAAUUAUAAAGGCAUAAACAUCCAAAAUGUAAUUUUUAUUAUAAAAUUUUGUCAUAAUAUAUCAUGUAUAUGUGAUUAUAUGAUACAAUUGAUGGUUAUAACAUGCAUGCUCUCCAACAUAAACAAAUAAUUAAUAAAUAUAGUGUUGUGACACGUGGGAGGGGGGGCACUUGUUGAUACCCCUGCUUUAGGUGGAAGAUGUGAAAAUUCUGGUGAGGCUCUUGCCCUUCUGGCUCAACAGUGGUCUUUAUGGACCUAUGGCCAGAAGACCACUUUCACCAUCCUGUCGAUUGGCUAUUUGAACUUGGAUGUCAACUCCAUCUUUGAGAUGCACUCUUUUUACAUACCCAGUUUUGUGCACGUCUCUAUAGUUCACAUCAGUUUCAUGUACGAUUAUCUUGUGGUAUCGCUAGUCAGGCCUAUCAGGAAGAACUCGUGUGGCCUCUCCUCGCUCAACGCAUGGGCACUGGACUCAUCCUCAACAUCCUCUCCAUGGUUAUCGCCGCACUCAUGGUGAAGAAGUGUCGCAUGAACGAGGAUGUCGAUUUCAAGUCAAUUAUGUUUUUUCUAGUUCCAUAGCUUGUGUUGCAGGGCAUGGGUGAUGCGUUUGCCAAUAUUGGCUGGGACUUCUUCAUUCACAAGGUGUCGAGCCCAUGGCCGACCCUGGCAUUUUGUAGGUGUAGUCCCUAGUGCGAACUAGGUACAUGGAGCUAACUAGAGUCAAAGUGUUAAAGAACGAGUGAGGUGUUUUGGCUCCCGGGAUCAUCUGCACCUGCGCUGAGUAAAAAAAUAAAAAUAAAUACUAGAAAAAUUCAAAAAAAUCAUUUUUUGGCAUGGUAGAUAAUUUGGUGCGUGAUGUCCGCCCCAAAUUUCAAAUUAUUUGGACAUCUGAGUAGCUCUCGGAAAAAAAGACAAAUUUGGGGUCUGUUAAAUAGUGUACUGUUCAUAUACUGUCUGACUCAAUUUGUCUUUUUUGCUGAGAGCUACUCAAAUGUCCAAAUGCUCUGAAAUUUGGAGCGCACCUCACGCACCAAAUUAUCUACCUUUAAUAAAAAAAUUGGAUUUGUUUAAAUUAUUUUGAAUUUUUUAUGAAUUGUUUCUCGCCCGGGUUCGCCCGGGUACAGAUGAGCCCGGGCUCAUAAUUGGAUAUCCGUUAAAGAACACUUAUAUCGGUAUAUAUUGCAUAUCAAAGUAACUACAAAGACAAACACGGAAAAUGUAACUUAGUUAAGAAAUAAUGUUUUAAUACACCAUGGAGAAAAACGUAAAUCUAUUGUAUUUGUAUGAUUGUGAAAUCCAUGAUGGUCACUAUUUGCUUGUUGUUGUCGGGCUUCAGGGAUGAACAUGGCAUCAAUAUUUUGCUUGAACCCGGCAUCAUGUUGAGGUCGUUCUGCAGCAGGAAUCUGGUCGAAGCCACCAAGCUACCAAAGCAGAGGAACACCUGAAAAUCCGUGGAGUACCCGUUUGAUUGGAGCUGAACAUGAAGAGGAACCUCAUGCCCUUUCAGUAAUGAGCUCAACAUUAAGUGGAGUUCCCUUUUUUGUUGCGGGAAAAAAACGCCGUGAUAGCUCAAACGAAAGGAAAAAAAGAAUAAAAACUUAAACUCUACCUUGCAAUGUCGUCGUAGAGAGCACGAGCUCAUGUGAUAGCUAAUGUGACGUUUCAGCACCACCACGUAGGAAAAGCGCCGUGAAUGCGACGACAUUCUUUUUCUAAAAUCAUUUUGCUCUUUGUUGCACUAAUUUGAAGAAAAAAUAAGAUCAUCUAACAAGUAUACUUCACAUAUACUGUAAGAAGACAAUGCUUCGUCUUUCUUCCUCCUAAUCCUCCCGGACCCGAGAAGAGCGGCGCGAGCACAACAGGGAGGGAUGCAGUAUGAAUCCAGGCCCUUGGAUAAAGAUCUAAAGGUCUAGAAAAAUCCUAGCAUCAUCCACUUAGAAAACCGUUUUGCUGCUAUCUGACAGUCAAAAUGAAGCCAUGGGUAAAGAUCUACGGAAAUGUUAACGCCCACACGUGUGGGCGUUUGCAGAUCGCCCACACGCCUCCACCACCACUCAUUUUGCCACGUAUGAAUACAUGACAUCAGCAGAAAUCUUUUUGGUUUUUGGUUUAAAAAUGUUUUAUCUCCUAAAUAAAAAAGCGAACUAAAAAUCCGUUUUCACCAUUAAAUCCGUCUCGACGAGAUCUUCAAAACUAGACCCCAUGUUGAUAUGUUUCGACGAAAAUUUUUUUUUGCCCAAAAGUUGCCAUGAUGUUUACACUAUAGUUGCCAUAGUGCUUAAACUAAAGUUGCCAUGUGGCAAUUUUAGUUUGUAGAUCAUGGCAAUUUUAGUUUUUUUAUGAUGGCAAUUCCAGUACUUUGACCAUGAAAAUAUUUUUUUAUUGAACCAUGGCAAUUUUAAGUGCAUGUAUCGUGGCAAUUUUAGUUUAUGGUGCAUGGCAAGUCUAGUUUCUUAAUUUUUUGGUUUAUAAUAUGUUAAAAUUGCUUUUAAAUAUAAAAGAAAAUAGUUGAAAUACAUCAUGGCAACUUCAGUGUAAAUAUCAUGGCAAUUCAUGCGCAAUAGACAUGGCAGGUUUUAACCAAAAAAAAAAUUCGCCAAAAUAUAUCGAUAUGAGAUCUAGUUUUGAAGAUCUCGUCGCGAGGGAUUUAAUGGUGAAAACGGAUCUUCAAUCGUAUUUUUCAUUUAAGAGAUAAAACAUUUUAAAAACUGAAAAUCCAAAAAGAUUCUCGCAUGCAUGCAUGCGAUGACGUGGUAAUCUAUUUACAUUAGAGACGUGUGGUGCGUCUCCUUUUCCGCCACACGUGUGGCAGUUAUCGGAACCCAAGAUCUAACUGGAGCGCAGGACGCGUUUGGCCCUAUACUUGCUGAACUUGACCUAGACAAUAACACAUAUACGUAAAUGACUUCAUACAUACUCCCUUCGUUCGGAAUUACUUGUCAUAAAAAUGGAUGUAUCUACAACUAAAAUACAUCUAGAUACAUUCAUUUCUUGGACGAGUAAUUCCGAAUGGAGGAAGUACAACAUAGUAUUCCCGCCGUCCGGAAAUACUUAUCGGAGAAAUGAAUAAAUCUAGAUGUAUUUUUGUUAUAAAUACAUCCAAUUUUAUGCAUUUCUCCGACAAGUAUUUUGGGACGAAGAGAAUAUAUUAUACUAUUACUUCCUCCGUUCCAAAAUAUUUGUCCUUCUAGACAUUUUAAAUGGAUUACAACAUACGAAUGUAUGUAGACAUAUUUUAGAGUGUAGAUUCACUCAUUUUGCUUUGUAUGUAGUCACUUGUUGGAAUGUCUAGAAAGACAAAUAUUUUGGAACGGAGGGAGUACAAGUCAAUGAAGUGGUGUAAGUGAAAACGAGACAUGCAUAUACUCCCUCCGUUUGGAAAUACUUGUCAUCAAAAUGGACAAAAAUGGAUGUAUGUAGAACUAAAAUACAUCUAGAUACAUCCCUUUUUAUUCAUUUUGAUGACAAGUAUUUUCGGACGGAGGGAGUACAUAGGCACCACAAUUAUUGCGUCAAUCAACCUUUAAAAUAAGCAGGUGUGUCGUUGCAGUAUUUGGCGCUUGUACCUGUUCCCGUCGAGACGAUCCAUCCGAUGUACCUAGCCCGUAUUUCGUCCGCGUACGUGUGGCGUAUCAGGGCUGAUUACACCUGGCCUAGGAGAUCCAUGACGAUUCCACAAUGCUUUUUUUUUCGGGUAAUUCCACAAUGCUAACUGCCAGAGAAUAAGAAAAAGACUUUUUUUGGCCACACAGUGGUGUGCACUAACCAGUACACUAGUUUGAACAUUUCAGAAAAAAUAAAAAAUAAGGCAAUGCAUGGGUAUAUCUCUAGGUCAUCGAUUUGACCAACCAAAUGCCAAUUAUAUAUCAUAAGAAUAUAGUAAUACUGCAUUAGAACUAGUAUAAUUGAAUAAUAAUUCAAUGGUAUAAAUUUAUUAACAUAUAACUCAAAUUUUGUUGGCCAAAUUGAUGACAGAAGAGAGAUACUCCCUCCGUUGGGAAUUACUUGUCUCAAAAAUGGAUAUAUCUAGAUACAUCCAUUUUCGCGACAAGUAAUUCCGAACGGAGGGAGUAGUAGUUUGUGUAGGGUGUCCACCACGUAUAGUUAGUUGCUGAUUCUCCUAUCUCUUCCCAUGAUCUAGAGACUGUCAAAAAAUAGUUUGGACGAUAAAUCGUUAGUAACUAAUUUUGAUGGAAAUAUAUUCCUCCAAUAAAAAUAGUCACACCAUAAGAGUGUAUCCCCCAUCACUUACUACAUCGAAUAAUGUCAUGAAAUACAUGGUAAUCAAUGUAGGGAAAAAUUCAAGAAUACAUGAUCAAGAGAAAUCCUAAAAGGAUCUACAUUUGCAAUAGACUGGGCACUUAGUUUCGGUGUUCCUAUAUGUACUGUUGAAUGUGUAACUUAUGAGAAUUUAAUUUGAGAAUUCUAAUCUUAAAGAAUGUCCAUAUGUUGGUGGUUUGGUGCAUAGGUCAUUGCAUAAAUUCUGCAUGGCUUUUCUUAGUUACAAGGGUUUUUGCUAUCUCGAAGAAAAAUCCCAUUGGUUGAAACCUCUUGAAUUGAUCUCUUGAAAUGUUUUUCUUCUCGGUCAAAACAAAAAUAGAUUCUUCCGCAAAAAAAUAAUAUUGUUGAUUCGUUCGUUGGCAGCGCCUCCAACCUUGAUCUCCAUCUGCCCCGUCUUUGUCAGCUUGCGGAGCAACCUCGCCUCAAAUGUUGUCCACUUCCCUUGGCGAAUACUUCCAAACUUUUUAUGUUUGGAGAAGUAAUAACAGCCAGAUGACUCGUCACAUUUUUAUGUUUACUUUUUUUUAUAGAAAAACAUUUUGACAUAGUUUCUGAAUUUAAUGUUCAUCCUGAGAGAGAAAGAGAGUGUGCCUCCAAGAGUUCGCUGAUCUUGGAAAUACAACCCAAUUUGAAAGCGAAAAAGGUGUGUCCGAUGGAUACUUCUCGGGGAUAACAAGUGAUUUGCGUCUUUGCUUUUAUGGGAUAGGGCCUAGGUCAUUCCAAGCAAUCUUCUGCCUUUCUCCUGGCUUUCUAAUACUUCCCAUUCUUAUAGAUUUGGGAUCCGCUUCUAACAGCUCUCUUUGGUCAUUGUCUUUUAGAUCCAACUCUGUGUGAGUAACACCAAUUCAAAGCAUUAUCUCUAUCUCUACUGCUUAAAAAGAAUAUAAGGNNNNNNNNNNNNNNNNNNNNNNNNNNNNNNNNNNNNNNNNNNNNNNNNNNNNNNNNNNNNNNNNNNNNNNNNNNNNNNNNNNNNNNNNNNNNNNNNNNNNNNNNNNNNNNNNNNNNNNNNNNNNNNNNNNNNNNNNNNNNNNNNNNNNNNNNNNNNNNNNNNNNNNNNNNNNNNNNNNNNNNNNNNNNNNNNNNNNNNNNNNNNNNNNNNNNNNNNNNNNNNNNNNNNNNNNNNNNNNNNNNNNNNNNNNNNNNNNNNNNNNNNNNNNNNNNNNNNNNNNNNNNNNNNNNNNNNNNNNNNNNNNNNNNNNNNNNNNNNNNNNNNNNNNNNNNNNNNNNNNNNNNNNNNNNNNNNNUUCCCCAUAUGAUAAUUAAUCAACUUAAUUUACUUACCUUCCGAAUCAAUUUCACUUUAAUUUAUUUACCAAACUUCACACCAAAACAUAAGGGAAAUCACGAGCAGGAUUUAAUAAACAUUUAUUUACACAAUCGCAUUUAUUUAGAUAAAUAAAUCACAAGAUAACGUACUAGAAUAUUUAUAUCCUGUUUCAACACACACGCAUUGUCUACUUAAAAAGAAUGUAAGGUUACCGUUUCACCUUUCUUCCCAACACCACUUCAUCCAACAUUUCCCGUAUGAUAAUCAAUCACCUUAAUUUACUUAACUUGUGAACCAAUUCAGCAUUUAUUUACUUACCAAACUCCUCAUCAAAACAUAAGUCAAAUCACGGGGAGGAUUUGAUAAACAUUUAUUUACACAAUCGCAUUAAUAUGGGCAAGUAAAUCACAAGCUAACAUACUAGAAUUUAUAUCUCAUUGCAACACACGGACAUUGUCCUAUUAUUUAUAAAUUAAAAAAAGAAUAAUGUUCAUUUUCCUACCAGGCAGAGUCCUUCGUCCAACAUAUCAUAUCUUUCCUGAUGAAACAUUCCUUAAAAACCGCAUGAAUUGUCUCAUCUUUUAUUAACUUACCAAAUAAACUAUAUUUUCUUUGGCAAGUCAAUAAGUGAUUACAAAAUUAAAUCAUGACAAUCAUAUAAUAUGGAAUUAUGGACUAAUGUACUAGAAUAUUUAUACCACAGAGCAACGCACGGGCAAAUAGAACAUAUGUUGUACUAGAGACUCACAGAUGACAUAUCGCUGCGUCUCAUAGUUGGGUCUGUCCGACUCGGGCCUUAUCUCGACUCGGUCCGACUACGUCGAAUCCGACCAGACCUUUCCAAGUCCAUAUUAUCCGGUUAGCAUCCAGUGCUCCAUGGCUAGUGAGACCGAGCCAUCGACCGUGUCAUAUGCUAGUCUAGUCGGCUGCAUGUCCACACAGCCCUUUCGACUAGGGACCUUUUAAGACAGUCAUCAUACAAUGCAUAGUCCCACAAACAAGUCACGUACUUGCUGAUACACAUCAUUGAUAAUGUCCAAGGACUAUCUUUAUUCAUAAACACAUAGGAAAUAUCAUCAUACAUGAUUGCCUCUAGGGCAUAUCUCCAACAUAGAUUAUACCGGUAAUCCUUCAAACGAUGAAAAAUCCAAUUAAAAGCCACAAAAGCAAGAAACACUAACACCACUUGAAGAUAUAACAAUAAAAAUUACUUGUGACGAAAGGUAGAUACAUAUGAAUUAGCAAGGUUGAUUGAAAUCUUCGACCUAUAGCUCCUUGUCAGCAUAAGCGUACCUCCAAAAAAACAUAUUAGAAAGUCAAACAAAACACAACACCAAACCAUGACAGCCAAAGAACACGCAAACACUGCAUAAUAUCCAACCAAAAUGAAAACACGGACUAUAAGAGAUAUACAAUCAUGCAUCUUAAAACUGCACCCCAUUGCAAGCAUGAUCACUAGUUCCCUGUGGCUCCUCCUGAUCAAUUCACUAGCAUCCACCUCCCCUUCAUUCAAACCCACAAAACGACGAUAGUCGUAUGCCCAAAAACACACAAAAAAAUAGCAAGCGCCUAGACAAUACAAACAAAGGCCAUGAGAAUCAUCUACUACCACUAUAAAAGAAAGAGAGGGGCAGAUCCAAACAAUCACAUCCAUUCAUCAUCAAGAUCUAAUGGUCCAUGGUGUCUCUAUGUUUAACACUAGCAAGCCACUAAUCUAUCUAUCUACUACCACUAUAAAAGAAAGAGAGGGGCAGAUCCAAACAAUCCCACCCAUCCAUCAUCAAGAUCUAAUGACCCUUAAUCAUUCUGUGUUUAACGCUACCAACCACGCCCUUAAUCGAUCGGUAACCCACCCCGCCGUUGAAAAAAAAAGAAAAUAGUACGCACGAUCUCUCGCCCCGUCCGCAGGACCUCUCGCCCCAUCCUUCUCCUCCCACGCCGUUCGCCGCCCGCGGCAUGCGAGAGCCGCCCUUCGCUGCGGGAAAUGUUGGAUGAAGAGAGACGGAGAGCCGCCCGUCGCGCCCUUUACCGUGGGAGAGACGGAGCCGCCGCCCGUCGCUUGCCGCGGGAGCCGCCGCAGGUUGCCGCCUGUCAUGUCCUUCGCCUUGUCGCGCCCUUCGCCGCGGGAGAGCCGGAGCAGCCGCCCGUCGCGCGCCGGGGGAGCCUCCUCAGGUCGCCGCGGUAGAGCCAGAGUCGCCGCGAUCGUGAGCAGCCGCCCGCCAUCCUCCCCUACACGGUCGAACCUUCCUUCGGCCCCUCCUCGCGCCGCCCCUCUCCUUUGCCCCGGCCGCCAAGACCCCGCGGUCGCUUCACCGGGUUGCAGCACCGCCCCACCCUUGAGGUGGGAUGACCAAAUCCAGAAUCGCCUUACCUAACAGGGAUGGACUGGAGAUUUGCAUCCAAUCAGCCAAUCAGGUCUCCCUCAUCUCCACUAAGUGCAUCUGAACACAUGACUUCUUGCACGGUAUGUGUUCGACGAUUUUUCUCUGAAGGCACAAGUUGCUGCUAUGUUGAUUCAACCUUUGGGUAGCAUUCUGAUUAAAGUGAUUUGGUUUGUUUUUUCAACCUUUGGGUUGUAUUCUGAUGGAAGUGAUUUGGUUCUUCCAAUCUAUGUGUAGAAUGUUCUGUUUGUGGAGAAAGUAGGUGAACCAUUGGAGCGACGUGAUACUCCAUAUUGGCAUAAUCCCACUAAAUAGCAUGGUUAAUGAUUCCGAUUUUAUCAUCUAAUAAUUUUUCCAAUUACUUACAACUAAAACUUAUUCAUAUAUGGUUAUUUGUUGUAAUGUACAGAACAUUUUUCAUAUAUCAUGACCCUUUGCAGUGUUUAUUUGGAACACAGGAUUCCUAAUUUUUGGACCUGUACACAACCAGAUUUUGGGGAUUUAUAAUGUGAGUGAGUUAUUAUGUUACUUGAAUCGGUGUACGUAACCUGGUUUCUUUGGGGCUUGGUUUUCAGUGAUUCCAACAGGCCAGUGACUUUCCACGCUCUCAGACAACAACAUUCUUAAUUCAAACGGUGAUGUGAUUUUAUCCAUAUGAAUAUUGUGUUAUCGUUUGUUUUAUUUUGAGUGAUAUUACACAUGUAGCUUGAUGGGUAUAUUUUACAUAUUUACUUUUGGAAAUUUCUUAGAGAUUAUGGAUGACAGCAGACAACAUUGCAGAUACGUUGCAGCUGGGCACCCUGAUCAGGUUUCCUUUUUGGUAAUUUUUGGAGAUCAUAGAUGAUAUUAAUAUCAUAGUUGUACUGCAAUUUGCAAGGUUUCUUGUGUUUGUGUGUACAAAUAGAUCGAAUCCAAUUCAAGUGACUUUGGUUAAUUUCCUUUUCAAAGUUAUUGUUGGGCAGCUAUUGACCUCUAUAAUACAUUUAUUUUCACUUCUCUUUUGCUCCCAGGAAAUCUGGUCCAAGCCCCACUACAGUUUUAUAUAAGGAUGUUGGAGGCAGCAUCGGAAGAGACAAGUCUGCGGUAAAUUUCUCCCUGAUACAGUAAUAGUGUUAUCUAUAGUCUUAGAAAAAAUUUCAACAUUUUCUGUUCUCUGCAAGGUAUGUUUUCUUGGCGUUUUCUAAGCAUUUUCUGGUCAUCAAUUGACUUAUCAUCCUAUCUUUUGUAAACCACGAAAUUUUUAAAGUUCAAAAAGCGUGUACAUCAACUAUUUCACUUCACAGUGAUAAAUGGAUGGAGUGCUUGUGACACAGAAAGCCUCUUUUGUGGAUCUAGCUAAGCCUCUUUUGUGGAUCUAACAACAAAACUAUGUUUCCAGUAUUUCUUUCGAUAUGAAAACAUUUUUGGAUCGUCACCUAGAAAAUAAAUUGGCACAAGCUUACUGACAUAGAGUUGCAGGUCAGCGCGCACUAAAAAUAUUUAAAUUCAGAUAAAUCUUUCUGAGAUAGUUUGCAGUUCCUAUUUUUCUGGUCAUGCUUUUUUGAAAAUAACUUUUAGUCAUGCUUGCCUUUAUACUGCUUGUUGAAAAUUCAAUUUUACUUUUAGAACAUGAUGAUAAAUCUGAUUCGUACUGGAAUUCACUUUUCUUGAACAGAAAAUAGAAGGAUCAGGUUGUAUGUGAUAGAAUAUAUGCCUAGAAAAUGAAAAGGAUAAUAGAUUUCUAAGUACUAGAACUGUCAUACCUUUCCAGGAAGUUACUUCUUGAUGUCAUUCCAGAAAAUAAAAGGAUCAAUAGAAUGUUCUCGAUGAUCAUUUUAGGUGUCCUUUUAGGCAGCAACACCAAGUAGCAGGGCUUCAUCUUAGUACUGAUCAAUAGGAGCAUGUUCGAACUACUUCAUAGGUAAAAAUCAUUUCUUCACGGCUUCUCUUAUGCUCCCAGGGAAUCUUGUCCAAACUCCACAUCGCUGUCACCGAACAAAGUUGGAGGUACAAUUGAAAGAGACCAGCCAGAUUCUUGUUCCGGGCAUUAAAAAGAAAACCUGGCUAGAGAUUUCAUGCCAUGUCAUUCCAUUUAUGUUUGCUUGUGUGCUUAUCAUAUCUGAUUACAUGAUUGACAUUUAUUUCAUAAUUAGUAUAUACUUUGACACAUGAUAUGUUUUGCUUUAUUUAUGAACAACAGGAUACGUUUACUUUUUGUGAUCAUAUAAGUGAACAAACAUAGCCAAUGGUUAAAGUUUAUAUCUACUAUGUAUGUAUAUUUUUCAUUCACACAUGUCUCACUGCCUUUUAAGCACUUAAGAGAGCAGAACUGGAGAUUGCUCUCAUUAAAUGUGAACAAAAUUGAUGUUCUUUCUUUUGCAAAAUAGUAAAUAUUGUGUUCUCUUGAUUGUUUUUUUGUCUUUUCAGUUUACCUGAAUCUAAGAAGUCCGACCAUCAAUUAAUGAGAGAUUUUUGCUUCUAUCAUUCAUGGAACCAUUGAAAUGAAAUACAUACCUUGGCUCAACCAAUACUUCACAAUCUUUUUGCCCAAAGCAAACAGUAUCAUUAUUUAUAUGUUCUAAAUUAAAAUAUUUUCGCUUGUGUUCUCAAUUAAAAUUUUACCGCUUAAAGGAAAAGAAACCAUUUUUAUCACUCCUACAGUUCACAGGGAGAGAGAACAAGAAAGAAAACCUUUCACCAAAAUCUUGUCUUCCUACUUACUUUUACUUACCAAGAAGAAUCAACAAUAAUUGAAUCUUUUAAGAAAAUGGAUAAAAGAUCAUUUUUAGUUAGUAAUGUACAACUCCCAACUUGUCUCUUUUACUUCUUUUUCUGUGCAUGUGCACCCUGUUGAAGGGUGUUGUACUUGUACAUAAUGGAAUUGCAAGCAAAACAAUGUUAUGGAUGGUCUACAAGAUUAUCUGGAUGAAUUCAUCUCCAGGGUAAAAGAAGGCAGGCAAUGUGCAUGACAUUUGAUUUGAAAUAAUAUUGCCUUGAAAAUGUAUGAGUGCUUUCUUGGCAUCUGACAUUGCAGAAUCAAACAUUGAUGCAUACCUUUGUAAAUUCUCUCGGGGAGAAAAAGUAUAAUUUGCAAGUUGCAACAUUGAUUCCAAAAUACAUGGUGUUCACACAUAUCUAUUUUAUGUAGUUUGUGAUAAACCAAAAUGUUUAGAGUUUUUGAAAGCACCAUCAAUGGUCUCUAUUUAUAUGGAGAUAAGUUAUGAAAAAAUGAGGUUCAACAACUUUGAAACUAUCUCUUGCUAGAUGUAAGGGCCUGAAAACAUGGUUUCAGGUCUAUAUGAUGAAUGUUACCUUCGCUGUUUCUUUUGUGUGUCAUCUUAUAUUACCAUCAACAACUAUAAGUAUAAGGUAGUAUGAGACAUGCACACAAGGUGUAUUUGAUUGGGAGUGGAUGUAUCUUUUAAAAGAGCAUUAGCAGAGACGUGCGUUGCACGUGCAAGCUUACUAGUUCAAGUAAAAGAACCAACAAACCUCCCGUCUUUCACACAUAAAUUCCUCUUUAUAGUGGCCUUCCCCAUAAGGGAUACCUCUAUUAUCUCAGACGUGCCAUUCACAAGUGCCACCACAUCUAUAUCUCUUUCGACAAACAAGCAAACAAAAUGUUCAAUUAAAAUACCAACAUAUCGAAUUGCAUAUGAUAUAGAAGAUCGCAAAUGCACACGCACUUGAAGAUUACCUGCCAGAUAAGUUUUGCCAAUGAUAGUGCCAGCUAUAUCCUUAAGAGAACAUAGCUUAUACACGUAGACCGGUAACCCGUCAGGUACAGGAUCUACCCUCCCAACCGUGGUCCAUGCAGUGAACCUCAUCUCAGACCUAUGUGAUGUCGUCCUGUACUGCUUCAUUGCAGGAGAAAUCUCAAGAUAUUGCAGAUAGUACACAUUCCCUUCCGCAACAAGUUUCUAAAACAUAGCUAUCUGACCCCUUGAAAUAAUAGCAUGGAUACCACCCCUACAAUAAAAAAAACAAGCGAAUUGGGAAGGCGGCUCAUCAUAUCCCUACUCUCAUCACGAUGUUCUCAAAGCCGACAAACUCUCACAUGGAUACUAUUGCUACUUUUUAGCGAACCAAGACUUUACCAUCUUAUUUAUCUUUUGUCUUGGUUGUUGCCCUCUUUUUGGUAGCGUUUAUUUUCUGUCGAUCUCUACGUUAGUAAACAAUCACAAGGGGUGGAUCCAAGGCAUGAAGGAGAUUCCGUGGUCUCGGCUCCUAGCGGUGGCAACCAGAACUCCGGCUUGCCGGUGACAAACCAGGUUCUGUUUAGCGGAGGCGCCCUCCGAUGGCUACGUCGGUGCUCAUGUAGUACGCGGACGCAACCUACGUUGUGUGACUUGACACGGAUCCCACCCUUGGUAGCUGGAUUGGUCGCGUGUCCCCGUUCACCUCUCUUGUAAAAAAAAAUCUCUUUCUUAUCGGUUGUAUAUGCAAAGGGCACCAAUAGGCGCCGGCGCACCGGCCCAAAUUUGGGCCGGUCAGCACGCAGCCAUCCGAUUCGCGUAUAUACAGCCGUUGGAUCGGACCUUUCAUGCUCUCUUCGCCCGUGCUUGCCGGCCACACCCGAGCCGCCCGCGCUCGCGCUUGACUCGCCGGCCGCCCGCGCUCGCGCCUGACUCGCCGGCCGCGCUCGUGCUCGCCGGUCAACCCUGCGCCGCCCGUGCUCGCCAGCCACCCCCACCCACCGCUAAUCGCCGUCGAGCCUGCAGGUCCACGGUGAAAAAAGGAUGUAGCCAAAAUUCUCGACAGGCGUAGAAAAGAGUACAGAGGUUGUAGCAAAAAAAUAGGUCGCCGCCGUCGAGCCUGCAGGUUCAUCAUGAAAAAAGGGAUGUAGCACAAACCAUCAACGGACGUAGCAAAAAUUACAACGGUUGUAGCAAAAAUAGGUCGCCGUCGUCGAGCCUACAGGUUCACCAUGAAAAAAGGAUGUAGCAAAAAUCAUCCACGGAAGUAGCAAAAAUCAUCCACGGACGUAGCAAAAACUACAACGGUUGUAGCAAAAAUAGGUCGCCGUCGUCACGGGACGCGGCUCGGCCGUGAAUGAAUGUAGCAAAAUUCGCCGCCGAUACCAGCAAGAAAGAAAAACGGUUGUAGCACUCGUGUUCCAGUGAAAAGAAAAGUCACCGUUCACCGCAUGCAGCUCCCCCGGAGGCCGAUUGCAGCUCCCCGCCAUCCAUGGUUGCAGCUCGAGUUUCGGCCGCAGCUCCCAUGGACGCCCGUUGUAGCUCCCAUGAAAACGGGUUGCAGCUCCUGCCGUCCAUGGUUGCAGCUCGCCGCUCCGGACGUCGGGGAAGAAGAGGAUGCAGUUCCACUUCCAUGGACGCAGCUCCCGCUUGCAUCAGCUCCGGCGUCCUCAAAAGUGCAGUCGCCAGCGCUGGUAUUUUAGACUCAGAGAGAGGACGACGGUGGGGAUAAGGUUUGUGUGGCCAGCGGUGAGUUGUUUCAUGCGUGGGCCCUAUUAUGCAUACGCGUCUCGCGCGAGACGGUUGUUUCACGGGCGCGUGAGCCAGCCUGGCGUGGGAACCGGCCGAAAGUUCGGCCGGUCUGCCGGCUCCAAACGUUUACCAUAUGCAAAUGGGGGCAAGUGUGUGUGCGUAACCUGUACUAAUGUGUGGUUCAGUGUAGAGUUGUUUGCAAAAAGAGAACUUCCCAAGGACCAAACCGCCCUCAGGGUUCACAAAUAAAUAGCCGUCAAACCUUCUCCCCUUUUCCAUCCCGCACCCUGCACCCGUUUCUUCUCCACACCCUCGAGAAUUGGCGGAAUUGCCACGCGAGUCCUCCAAGUUUCUCCCGCCGCGAUGGAACCGCCCGGUUCAGGAGCGGAACCGGUCGAGGACGACCACAUCCAAGAAACGGCCCACGGGCGCUGCAAGUCCAACGCCUCCUCCAAUGGGGCCCCGAGCGCUGCUGUGCCGCCACCUCCCCGCGCGACGCCCCUCCACCUCGAGCGACGCCGCCGCGAGCAGGCCGGAGGCGGCGCCGAUGGGUCGAGCUCCGCCGCGGCGGGGGCCGACCGGAAGGGCAAGGGGACGCUGCCGCCCAAGGCCAUUCCUUCUCCUCCGAGCUCCGCGGGCAGCAGCAGCUCCUCCACCCCCUCCCUCAACUACGCCGCCGCAUUCAGAGCCGGGGCCUUCGGAGGCAGGGAGUCGAGCACCGCGGCGGGCGGCAGCAAGGCGCGGGUGACGUGGAGCGACCCCGCGGCGACGGAGACGAGGGAGGUGCCCAACGCGGCGGCGCAUCCGUUCGGCCCCAAGUUGGUGUCCACGCAGCGGCUGGUGAAAGAGCAGGCGGCGGUCGAUAAGGAGAAGAGCCGACGGGAACAGCAGGUAAUGUCCUCUGUGACGUGCUGUUGUUGUUUCUUGGAGUUCUUGGAGUCUCUGGAGUGCGUUCUUGAGCGUUUCUUGGUUUCCUCGUGAGCAGUUCAACUCGUUCCGUGCGGAAGAGGCGAUGCAUAGGAAGGAGCAGGUAUGGCAUGAAUCUGAUCUUCUUGCUUGCUCGGAAUGUCGAAUUGUGAUCUCUAAAUCUGUGAAAAUCUUGGGGUUGGGGAUGAGUUAGAAUGUGGAAUCUCGCAAAUGUUGGCGACAGUUUGACGAUUAGGCAUUUCCUGAUAAUUACUCGAGUUCUUCUUGCGGUGUGUUGUCAGAUUUAGAGGCAGGCAAGGAUCUAAUUCGAAACUGUUCAAAAUUUAGAUGUCCAGGCUUGUGCUAAUUGAUUAUUCUACUGUAUUUGGUAUUAUAGCACGAUUUCACACUUUUGCUGCAAGUGAAAAAUUUGUUACUCGAGUAGGCAUUUCCUGAAAAUGUUGGUAGUAGAAACGGAAUCUCAGGAAAAUGUUGGGGCCAGUUUGACGAUUAGGCAUUUCCUGAUAAUUACUCGAGUUCUUCUUGCGGUGCGUUAUCACAUUUAGAGGCAGGCAAGGAUCUUGUUGUGAUUAUUCGAAGUUGUUCAAGAUUUAGGUGUCCAGGCUUGUGCUAGUUGAUUCUUCUAUUUGGUAUGAUAGCAUGUUUUGCACUUUUGCUGCAAGUCAAUAAUUUGUAGGUUCAUGCCAGUGGAAAAUAUCUUGUGCUAUUUCGGUCAGGCUUAUUGCUUUUGUUUAAGAAUAACAAGAAUUUGAGUGAAUGUUCCGUUUAGUGCAAGUCCAGAACAUAAGUAUGCAUGUUUAACAGUCGCAUUCAAUCAAAUUAACUGAACCUUUACUGCUCUUUCAUCAUUUUUGACAGUUCCAUGAAAUCAAAUUUAUUGGUCUAUCUUUACCUCUUUAGCAAUAAUAAUUAGAUAAUUAUGCUGGUGUUGUUAGCUUCUGGAUAUGUAACUGACAAUCUCUCACCGUUGCUUCAUGUUACACUAAAUGAUCAGUAGAUUACCCUUGAUUUUCUGCUGCAUGUUUCAAAUUUGUUCUUCAUAACUGAUGUCCUGCCCAAAAGGCAAAAACUGCAUUGUGAUAUUGUUAAACUGUUAAAUAGCAUGCAUAGUUCCCUUGUGCCAAAACUGUAAAUCAUAAAACUACAGUAGUUUUGUACGGUUGUAUCUUUAUAUUAAUUAGUAGUUGCUGGCGCACUAUGACGUAUUGUUUCUCAAGAGUAGAAACUUGGGAUAAGAAAACAAAGAACUUUUAUCUUAUUUUUAUAUGUUUCUGUUUAUGCCAUGUAUCUUUGUGUCACCAUUUCUUUCCAAUAAUAAUACUUUCUCCCACUGCUUACAAUGAAACAGACAAACAGAUGCUUACAUUCAUGUUUUAACUUUAAGCUGUAUUACGUAGUUACCAGCACUCCUGCCUGAUAAAUCUGUCCUUUUGUCGAUCAUUAGUAUAGUAGCCAUGAUCAAUAAAAAUAAUCUAUUUGUUCUGAAAUUCUCUCAUGGUUUAGAUUGACCCAGUAACCAUAGUUUGCUCCUUUGAUUGCAGUCUGUAAAUCAGUCAUACAAGCAGUGGCUCAAUGAUGAGGUUGCGGUAAAAUGGUCUGAUAAUGAUGAUGAUGUAAGUUCAUACUCAAGCCACUUUAGGUUUAUGAUUUACAUUUCGUAUUUAGUUUCAUCAUAUGAAAUAGUUGUUUGUGUUCUAAAAUAAUCAAAUAGACUGGAGUGUCAAAACUGUUUCUGGAGUGUAAUUCGUAAAUUUAGACAUGCUGUUUCUGGAGUGUCAAAACAUGUGAUCUCCAACCCAAUGAUUAUAUUCUCGAAUUCUCCUACUGUUUUCCAUUGAUACAAUACUCAUAUAUUGCUUCUUUGAAUGCAGUUUGCUAAUAAAUCAUAUCAGCAGUGGUUUAAUUCAUGGUUGGCUUCAACAUUAAUGCAACUUACUAAGAACAAUUCUUUUGAUGAAAACCACCGCGCAGGGAGUCCCGUACCCUUUGCAUGCUGAAUUUUGUGGAGAUUCUUACUCGUCACAAAGAAGGGAAUGGACUGACGUAAGAAUUGUGAGAAGACUGCGAGGGCUGCGUCUCCAAGAGAGGCUUGCUGCUCGCAAUCAUUUCAGAGCGUUGCGUGAUAGUCAGCGAGCGGGCGGGCGCAAGCCUAGCACCCUAUUCAGGCUUGCAAUGGAUAACCUUAGGGAUGCCGAGCUUGUAGAGGAGUGUACCAGGGAUUGUGAUACUCCAGAAUAUCUUACUUGUCCACUAUCGGGCGAGCUUAUGAUUGACCCGGUGACAAUUGCCACGGGGAAGGUAAUUCUCUUAGUGUGUGCUCGAAGUUUUAGCUGCAUAUAAUUGUUUUUUAGUAGUGAACUAAUGAUGGGUAUGUUUUAAUUUGUUUUAGACAUUUGACCGACAGUACCUCAAGGAUUGGUUUGAGAAGAACGGGCAUAUCUGUCCUGUGACCGGCGAGCCUGUUUCAGGUGCCAUUGUCCGGAACGAGCGUAUCCGAGGGUACUUGCGCGAGUGGGAAGAAUCCAAGAUGGAGCAGAUCACGAAGGUCUGAAAGAACAUGAAGUAGUAGGAACGACAGUAUAGUUCGUCAUAUUUCACGGCCUGUAUAUAUAUAUGUCUUGUGUGCUUCCCAAAUUACACUGCUGCUACUUUUUAUCUUUUACUGGAAAUAUAAACAGAUCAUUACAGUCUCUUGUGACCUAAUUUCACAAUCUUUAGUGCGUAAGAUAUCUUUAGUGCGUAAGAUAAGAUGAUAGCUAAUCCUACAUGACAUGCCAAUUUGUUGACUGGACGAGGAAGUUUUUUUGAAUUUUUGUGAACAAUUAUUGAAAUUCCAAAGCAUUUAUUUUGUUCUUUGUCAACAUAUGGAAAAAAUCAUGAACAUUAUUUAAAUACGGGAAAAAAUUCUAAUCAUGAACUUUCUUGAAUGUAUGAACAUUUUAAAAUAUUGUGAACAUAUUUUGAAUAUCUGACAUUUUUUGAUAUUCAACUUUUUUUUCAUGUGCGAACAUUUUAGGAUUUCUCAAACAGUUUUUUAAAAUCAUGAAUUUUUUUUCUAAAUUCAUGAUCAUUUUAAGAUUUCUUGAACAUUAUUUUGAAAAUCUGCAAUUAUUUAGAAAGUUGGACUUUUUUAAAUCCUGAAUUAUUUUUAUGAAGGGAAAACAGAAAAACAGAAAUUGUAAAAAUAAAAAGAACGAAAAUAAUAGGGGGCGUCCCAACCCGCAGAUGGGCCAGCCCAACAGGGCGCGUGGGGGUGUGCGUUUCCGCUUCAUCGGGCGCACAGGUCGCCAUAUAGGAGGGGAGCUCCUAACCGGCGCCUUCUGCGCCGGUUACCAUACCUGGCGCCUACAGGGAUGGUUAGUGGGCUGCUGUUUCGAAGCCCAGUUGAAAGCUGAAUGUCGAAUAGAAUUCAAAAAAUAAUGUACAUGACAUGCCAAUUUGUUGACUGGACGAGGAAGUUUUUUUGAAUUUUUGUGAACAAUUAUUGAAAUUCCAAAGCAUUUAUUUUGUUCUUUGUCAACAUAUGGAAAAAAUCAUGAACAUUAUUUAAAUACGGGAAAAAAUUCUAAUCAUGAACUUUCUUGAAUGUAUGAACAUUUUAAAAUAUUGUGAACAUAUUUUGAAUAUCUGACAUUUUUUGAUAUUCAACUUUUUUUUCAUGUGCGAACAUUUUAGGAUUUCUCAAACAGUUUUUUAAAAUCAUGAAUUUUUUUUCUAAAUUCAUGAUCAUUUUAAGAUUUCUUGAACAUUAUUUUGAAAAUCUGCAAUUAUUUAGAAAGUUGGACUUUUUUAAAUCCUGAAUUAUUUUUAUGAAGGGAAAACAGAAAAACAGAAAUUGUAAAAAUAAAAAGAACGAAAAUAAUAGGGGGCGUCCCAACCCGCAGAUGGGCCAGCCCAACAGGGCGCGUGGGGGUGUGCGUUUCCGCUUCAUCGGGCGCACAGGUCGCCAUAUAGGAGGGGAGCUCCUAACCGGCGCCUUCUGCGCCGGUUACCAUACCUGGCGCCUACAGGGAUGGUUAGUGGGCUGCGGUUUCGAAGCCCAGUUGAAAGCUGAAUGUCGAAUAGAAUUCAAAAAAUUACGCUCUCGUUAGGAAUCGAACUCGUGCCCUUCGCUACCUACAGCGUUCGGCUAACUCCUACGGCAUGUCGUUACUAGUGAUAGAAUGCAGCUCCGACACUUUAAAAACUACCAUCCCAUACAUGAUUUUCUUUUAAAAAUAAUUGAAACUUCACAGAUUUCGGAAAAAAGUUUGUGAACAUGCAAAAAACGUUGCUCCUAUUCAACGAAAGUCCAUUGAAUUUGAAAAACGUUCAUCAAUUUGAAAAACGUUUUUACUAAAUGUUGAAUGCGUAUUCAAAAAUUGUUCGACACAUAUAUUCAUAUUGUUUAAAAAAUGUUCAUCGUACAUUAUUUAAAAUGUUCAAUGGAUAUAAAAAAUGUUCAGGAUACAUAAUUGGUUUUGGUUAUUCAAUGGAUAUAAAAAAUGUUCAUCGUGUAUUAUUUAAAAUGUUCAAUGGAUAUAAAUAAUGUUCAUCGUGUAUUCUAUUUUGGUUUUGGUUAUUCAAUGAGUAUACAAUUGUUCAGUAUGUUUCUUAAUUUUGUUCAGUAUAUAUUACACAAUGUUCAAUGUGUAUUCGCAAAUUGUUCAACGUAUUUUCACAAAAUGUUCAGUACGUGUCCGAAAAUUCUGUGUAUGGUGAACAAUAUUCAAAUACACGUAGAACAUUUUUUUUAAAUACGAUGAACUCAUUUUGAAUGCACGCUGAACAAAAAUUCUAUACAUGAUGAACAUUUUUUAUACACACUGAAUAUUUUUCAAAGUUCAUCAAAUUUGACAAUAGUUCAUCAAUUUUGAAAAAUGUUCAUCAAUUUUGAAAAAUGUUCAUCAUUUUUGAAAGAAAGUUCAUCGAUAUGAAAUAAAGUUACCAAAUUGGAAAAUAAAUCUCGCGCUUAGCAAAAAAGAAACAUAGUUCAUCGAUUUUGAUUAAAGUUCAUUGAAUUUGAAAAGUUCACAAAUUUGAUAAAGAGUUUGCAUGUUUAAGGAAAGAAAGAAAAGGAAAUGAGAAAAGAAAAAGGAACAAGGAACAAGAAGAAAAACGUCCAGAAAAUGACCAGCGAACAACAUAGGUAAAGAUUAAAUGAAAGGAAAGAAGUUUACAAGCACAAGUGUGUCGUUGUCCUGGUGGUUAGGGCGCUGCACUCUCAAUCCAGCGGCCCUGUGUUCGAUCCCUGCCUCUCGCAGGGAGAUUUUUUGCUUUGAUGAUAUUAUUGGGCCGGCCCAGGGCAGCGAGAAGGUGCGGCGGGGGGUGUGCGCCCGUUUGCGCGCCGAUGCCUGGAACGGGCGCAACGGGCGCCGUUUAGGAAACGCCCUAUAGGAGCUCCCUUCAUAUAGACCCAUGUUCAGAUAUGCAUUUAUCGUCUCAGGUCCAUGGGCCACAUAUGUUAAGUCUGCAUUAUUAUUCUUGUUUUUCUUUCGGACACGACUAUUGGAACAUGAUUCGACAUGCACCUACUUUGAAUAGUAAAAUCAAAAAAUGCUAGAAAAUGAAUCAAUUCUGAAAUUUUUUUGUAACAAAUUCACAGAGAAAUGACAUCCAUGGUAUUCUUGGCAAAAACUAAAAACAAAUUCACUGGUAUAAAAAAGACCGUGUUAGAAAGUUAUUUGGAUGUCGAUUUUAUUUUCUUUGCUAAGAAUACUACAUGUGUCAUUUCUUCACAAAACUUCACAUAUGAGUAGAAUAGUCGACUAAGUUUGAUAACCUAAAAAAUUGGUACGAUAACUUGCACUACUUGCUAUUUGUAGUAGUUCGAAUUGCCAUACUUGUACUCGGAUUUGUAGGUUGAUAGCAGUUUGUGAUAUUCUUUGAUUGUUUUCAUCAUCUUGGUCAUAUGUAAACUUUUAAUAUACUAAGUAUGAGACUUGACCCAUGAGUGGCUUAAAGUUGCAGUGCAACUUACUAAGAACUUCUUCUUCUUUUUGACAUCACAACUUACUAAGAGAUAUUUGUUUGUUCAAAACCUCUGUAGGAAAUUCCGUACCCUUUAUACGCUGAAUUUUGUGGAGAUAAUUCCUCCUCAUCCCCAAAAAUAGAGUGGAGUGAUGUAAGAGUUGUCAGGAGACUGUGAGGGUUGCGUGAGCAAGAGAAGCUUGCUGCCCGUAAUCAUUCGAGAGCGAUGCAUGAUAGUCAACGAGCGGGUGGGCGCAAGCCUACCCCCUUAUUCAUGCUUGCAAUGGAUAAGCUAAGGGAUGUGAAGCUUUCACAGGAGUGUACCUAGGAUUGUGAUAUUCCAUAAUAUCUUACUUGUCCAUUGUCCGGCGAACUUAUGAUUGACCCGGUGACAAUUGCCACGGGGAAGGUAACUCUUUGUGCUUGAAGUUUCAGCUGCAUAUAAUUGUUUUUUAGUAGUGCAAUAAUGAUGGGCAUGCUUUAGAUGUUUGACCGACGGUUCCUCAAGGAUUGGUUUGACAAGAACGAACAAAUUUGUCCUCUGAGCGGUGAGCGUGUGUCCGGUGCCAUUUUCCGGAACGAGUGUGUUAGAGGGUACUUGUAGGAGUGAGAAGAGUGUAAUAUGGCGUGCAUAUUGACGACGACAUUGUUUGAAAGCACUCUACUGAUGGCCUCUACGCGACAAAGUCCGUCUACAAAGCACAGUUUCUUAGCCUCAUUUGCUCCCCUUUGAAGCAUGCAGUGUGGAAAAUCUGGGCUCCACCCAAGGUCAAGUUCUUUGCUUGGCUGGUCAUCCAAAAUAGUCUGGACCGUGGAUAGAUUGGCCAAGUGCGGUUGGCCAGACUUUGGCUCGUGCCCCUUAUGCAUGCAUGAGAAUGAAUCGGUUGAUUGUCUCUUCUUCAAAUGCCGGUUCACCAUUCGACUAUGGGGCUUGAUCAAGGCGUGGCUAUAACUCAUUCAUGUUGAUGCCUCCACUUGGCCCCUGAGGCAUUCCACCUUAGAUUGGUGGCUUGGGUUGACCGAUGCUUCCAUCCCAAACCGGAAGGCCAUGGCCUCGUGCGCCAUGCUCACCACGUGGACGAUCUGGAAUGAGAGAAACGCACACGUCUUCCACAACAAGGCCGCCCCGCCUACGGUUAUUCUCGAGAACAUCAAACGGGAGGCAUCGUUUUGGGUCGCCACCGGAGCUAAGAAACUAGGGUCCAUCAUGCCGGGUGAGUGACUCUUCCUUGUAACUUUAAGGGAUGUCGUUUGUAACACAAACUCUAUUCUCUCUUAAUUAAUAUACGUGGUAAAUCUUUUGCCCGUUUUGAAAAAAUAAAACAAAAUAAGAUGGAGCACAUCACAAAGGUCCGGAAGAACAUGAAGUGAACUCACUUAGUAGUAGGAAUGGCAGUAUAUAUAGUUCUUGUCAUAUUUCAUUGCCUAUAUGUGACAAAAAAAUACACUCCGGUCCCUCCGUCCCAAAAUUCUUGUCUUAGAUUUGUGUACAUACGGAUGUAUCUAUUCACAUUUUAGUGUUAGAUACAUCUGUAUCUAGAUAAAUCUAAGACAAGAAUUUAGGGACGGGGGGAGUAUAUGUGCACUACAAGAAAUAUGUCAACUUAUGACCACCACUAUUGGUCACUGAAAGGUCACAAAUUUCCAUUUAUGACCUUUUUUGACCAAAAACAGAAGGUCAAAAGCUGGCCGUCGUAAACUGACUAUAGCGACCUUUCUUCUGGAAUGGUCAAAAACGUUUACGACCAAAAUAUUCCUACUGUGGCGUUUUGGUCACUAGCAACCUCCCCAAGCCACGUAGGCAUCUAGCGUGGCAAGCUGAUGUGGCACAAGAUUCAGCCCGAUCCAAUUCGGUUUUCUACAUGGGUCGAGCCCAUUAAUUCAGCCUUUCUAUAUUUUUUUUCGUGUCAAUUUUUGGUCAAUUUCAUGGGCCUAGCCCAACGUUGUAGCCUUUUUUAUUGUUGGCCCAUGGCCUUUUAUUAUUUAUUGCUUUUCUAUUUUCAGCCAUUAUAUAUUCAAGCUGGUCCCACUAGUCAAAUGGGUCCCACUUGUCAUGAUCAUCUCUCAAAUUGGUCCCACAUGUCAGAAAUGUACAAAUUUGACAGAUUAUUUUCAUAAAUAGGACUCAUUGGUCAAGUUUCCAUUUCACAAGUUUUCAGAUCACAUACAUAAUCAAAAAGAACACAUAAAUUUCAUCAAAUAUACCACUAAAUAAAUCUAUUACAAUCUUUACAACACAUAUAUGCUACAAUAUGCUACUCUUUACUAAGUAGAACUUGACGGCUUCACACUUCACGGCUUCACACUUGCUUCACACUUCACACUUGAGCAUCUGUAAAAGAGGAACAACCACAAAUUUAAAUCUCAAUUGUAGUAUAGGCCAUAUGCAGAAGCAGUUCAAAGUUGAAACAACAUCAAUUAAACACACGCGCACAGAAACAUAGGAGUCAAAAUGCAGUAUAGGACCAGGACAAGGGAACUCCUGUUAUCAAAUCAACACACAGCUUGUAGCGAAACAGUAACAGAAUACAUUAUAACAAGAGUAAGCUUGAAUCAAACAGCACAUGAACAUGUGGAUAUCUCAUGUGAGCAUCAUGCUGUGGUUUUAUUAAACAAUGAUACAGCAACAGAAUACAAUAUCUUCAAUGCAAAUUAUGGUACUUGUGGCAAAACAGUUUGAAACAACAACUACACAAUACAUUAUAAUCACUUGCCAAACAAAGAUGGAUGGAGGCAAGAUAGAGAAGCAGCAGCCAACCUCAUACUGCUCGAUCCACAGGCUGGUCCCAAUGGCCUGCUGGUAGCGGUCGAAGAUCCCCUUGAUGCUGCAAGUAGCACAUGAAGAAGAAGAACAAAACGAAGCUGCCUUAGAGAGGUAAUCAAAGCAAGCAAACAGAAGCAACAGUGCAGUACAGAAUGUAUCACUAUAGCAGGGGCAUAAUUUUUGUACUAGUUAAAAUAGAACAUGGUUUGUACUUCUCACAUAAAUCUCUACUCUUGUAAAUUCAAAGCUAUGUUUGAUCCCAGACGACAUGAGCUGAUGAUUAUAAUGUAUGACACCCUACUGAAGCAACAAACAACUCUUGACUUAUUACUACAAAGAAAAUAGUUCUUCCCAAGCCUCCAUUUUAACAAUGUAUAAAUCUGCACAUGCAUAUACUGUUAUGUCACUACCUCCUAAGUAUAUAGUGACAGCCAAUUUAAAUUCAGCAUACAAGGUAAGAUGCAAUGUGUUAAUCAACUCACAUUAACUCCUGGUAAUUCAGAGUGAAGUUGUUUCUGAACACCACUAGUGUAAUUAGCUAGCUAGGUGUGUGCAGGGAGGGAGGGAAGCUAGCUAGGUAGCUAAGGACAUUUAUUUCACUAUUGAAUUCAGACAUUUAUUUCACUAGUGGAAGAAUUGUAUUGGUACCUAGUAAAGCAAUAAAAGCGUCAACAAAUCGAGCCAGCUGUUCGCCCUUCCCCUCAUGCAUGCCAGGAACAGCUCUAACUUCACCUACCUGAUCGCCUAAUACAUAUAGGAGCAUGGAUCAGGAACAGCAAGCUACAAAGCAUAUAGCUGUAAUAUAACUUCACCUACAUAAUGGCAGUUCCAUUUGAUGAAAUGAAACGAGGAGGCGCACCCUUUUUUCUCAAAAAAAAUGAACAGAACUACAGCGUACAAGCUACUGAAUUUUCAUGGAAAAAAUGAACAAAGACCCACAUAUAUAAACACUUUCGGGGCAAAAGACAAUCUGUAGUUGUAACAGCAGGGUGACAUUAAUAUCUAUCAAGCCUCUAAAAUUUUGAUAAAUGAAACAGACAAAUUUAAGUUGCUGAUGGAGUACAUGUUGAAUAAAAAAUGUUGCAGAUUGGUUCGUAGGAAUUGAAUACCCAACUAAUUUUAUUUUCAAUUUAAGAAAUGCACAUACAAAUAGAAGUAAACCAAAUACCCCAAUACAUGUGCGUCAAAUGCUGUCCAAACUGAAACUCAACUGUCCAAACAUUGCUACAUAUACAAAUGUUUGAAACAAGUUUAGCUUGCUGAGCUCAAAAGUAUGGAACUGAAAUGCAGAGACUUAUGCAAUAUUAUUGUUUCCUUUCUCUUUUGUGAGGACAUAUGCUGUCAAAAUGUACAGUAUACGAGGAACUCGACCAAAUUCAUGAAAAUGAUUUGUUCCAAAUGAUUUAUAUAUCACAAAUAAGACAUGAAGGCGCGUGUGUUUGCCCUGGUAAGAGCAGCCCGCGUUCCUCAACAUAAAAAUAGGACUCCAAACAUGCACAUGAAGACCUGCAGUACAAGGGGGUUCGGAGGAGGUGGGAAUCAUACCUAGCAGUAGCGUGGCCGGACUCUACCCAGCAGCAGCAGUAGGCCCCUGCCAGCCCUGGCCUUCAUGUUGUACUUGCGGGUCUGGCAUUGCACGAUUGGGCGAAGAGGUCCAGAGGUAGGGCGGGGGAAGAUCUUCACAGCCUUCUUAUGGCGAGUUGCAUACAGAAAGAACAAAUUGUUAGAUGACAGUGAGUCAAACCAGCACCACAAUAACACAAACAUGUUGUCAGCGGAUCGGAUGGUAACUUAUCAGUAAAUCAACAAAGAAACUAAUGGUAUACAUCUAAUCUGCCCUGCAAUAGCAGACAUGUAGUUUAACUCCUUAUGUGUAAAUACAUAAGCCAGUGCAAGUGUUGUUCACAUGUUAGUGCUGGAUUCAACUUAUAAAUAUAAAGAGACAUGGCAAUACGCAUCAAACUUGGAUUCAUGGUAUAUGUACUAAAAGAAACUAACUGACCAAGUGGCUUAUUAACAGAUAUCCUAGAUGGCAUUCUAUAGCACUGUAUACCUCAACCCCCAGCCACAUCCAUCAGUCAUGAACAUCGCCAUAUUCAUAAGCGGUAACAAAUCUGAUUACAAAUUGUACUAAAACAAAGCACAGUGACCAAACCUGUGAGGCCAGUGGCAAGCAAGCCGGUGUACUUGGUAAUGGAGAACAGGUGCGUGAUGCUGGUGUCAUCCAGCAACUUGUCCUGCAACCAGAACCACAUCACAGGGACAAAAAAAUCAGCCUUUCAGGUAUCUACAGGUAAACCUCGCAGGUAUCGACGGUUAACAAAUUGGACGCGGUCGAAUUCGCAAGUUCUUCGAGCCAGCAACGGCAGCGCGAGAGCUGGAAUCGACGAGGGAAGGGGACGACUCACCGGGACUUUCUUCUGGGUGACGACGCAGACGGAGUCCUUGCCGCGGACGCCGAUCGAGGUGACCCCCGCCGACUUGACCGCCUUGAACGCGUACUCUGCGCACACCAGACGGACGGAUCAGACGCCGCAUGAAUCGAGGGCCAGGCGCCUGCACAGAUCUACUAGGGGGGAGGAAGGGGAGGGAAGCUAGGGUUUGGGGAGGCACGCACCGACUUGGUAGAGGCGGCCCUCGGGGGAGAAGAUGGUGAUGUGGCGGUCGUAGCCCGCGCCCGAUCCGCGGCUCAUCUUGAAGGGUGCAGGAUUGGUCACGGCCGAGGGUGCAGGAUGGGACGCGGGAGAGGGGAGGAGGAGACGCGGCGAUCUCGUCUACGAUGAGGGUCGUCGAUGGUGGUGGUGGGGGCGACGGCGGAUCAAGAUCUGAGGGAGGGAGAGGGCGGGUUGUGUUAGGAUCUGGAUCAGGAGGAGGCGGCGGCGCGUUGGACGGAAGCGAAUGGGAGAGGAGAGGCCGUCGGCGGCGAGCUGUGGGAGGGAUGAGGCGGGGAGAGGAGUGGAUCGGGAGGGGGGCGGCGGCGAGGAGAUGGGAGGGAGAAGGGUGUGACGGGGGGAUGGAUCUGAGCUAGGGUUUUGGCUAGAAAGAUGGAUGGAUGGAUGGAUGGAUGGAUGUGGGAUGGAGAGAUGGAUGGAUGGAUGGAUGCCAUGUCAUCAAUCCGUGAGAAGAGUUCUGAUUGGUUCGGAAAAUCAGUGACUUCAAAUAGUUUUCAAGUACUAAAAACAAAGGGAUUUUGUGAAGUAGCUAUCAAAAAAAUUGCAAAAGAGCACCACACAAAUUUUCACUAGACUUAGACCACAUUUUAUGGAUAAGGACCAAUUUGUAUGCAUUUCUGAUCUUUCUAGCUAUUUUUAAUCAUUUUUCGAGUGGCAAAAAUGAUUUUUUUGUGAAGAACCUACCAAAUAUUUGUUGCAAAAUUGGACCAAAUAAAUUUUAUAAAAUACUAGUCCAUAUUUAAUAUACAAUUGAACAAAUGGUUGGGUGUCAAAAGCUUUGAUCCACCUCUCGUGAAAAAGACAAAUUUCCGCCGGUUUAACUGAAAGCGGGUCAAAUUUGAACUGCAGCUGCCUCAUAGUUUGCUCUUUAUUUUUUUUCAAAAAUCAUUUCUAGGUACAUAAGUAUCUAUUUAAUCAUAGAAACACUAAAAAAGUUCCAAGAUUCAACCACUAGCUAGGAACGGUCAUUCCCGCCGUUUUGACCGUAUUUUGAAACGGCCAUAAAAAAUUCAAAAAAAAUCAAAAAAUUGGGAAACCUUCGCAUUGUGUCAUUAUAUGUGGCCCAGUUCCCAGGAAAAAUAACAAACUUGUAAUACGGCAAUUAUUUUAAAAAAGUGUUCUCAGAAAUGAGCUAUCAUCUCUGAAGAUUCAUGGCUUUCAAGCCAAAUGAUCAAUCUUAUGGCCACAUUCGUGGCAUAGUUUGUUCAAAUGAUCUCAUAUUGUGCACAAGGGUGCAUAUUGGAAUGACAAACAAUGUUGCCUAAGGAAGUUUUCAUUUUCGUUGGACGAAAAAACCAUUUUCCAUUUUUCGAGUGCCCGAAAGGAGGUUUUUUUGUGAAGGAACUACCAAAUAAUUGUUGCAAAAUUGGACCAAAUCAUUUUUCUAAAAUACUAGGCCAUAUAUAAUGCACAAUUGACAAAAUGGUUGGGUGUAAAAAAUUUUGAUCCACCUCUCGUGAAAAAGACAAAUUCCCGCCGAUUCAGCUGGAAACGGGUCAAAUUUGAACUGCAGCUGCCUCAUAGUUUGCUCUUUAUUUUUUCCAAAAAUCAUUUCUAGGUACAUAAGUACCUAUUUAAUCAGAGAAAGACCAAAAAAAUUCCAAGAUUCAACCACUAGCUAGGAACGGUCAAGCCCGCCGUUUUGACCGCAUUUUGAAACGGGCAUAAAAAAUUCAAAAAAAAUCAAAAAAAUUGGAAAACCUUCGCAUUGUGUCAUUAUAUGUGACCAAGUUUCCAGGAAAAAUAAUUAACUUGUAAUACGGUAAUUAUUUUUAAAAAGUGUUCUCAUAAAUGAGCUAUCAAGUGUGAAGAUUCAUGGCUUUCAAGCCAAAUGAUCAAUCUUAUGGCCGCAUCCAUGGCAUAAUUUGUUCAAAUGAUAUCAUAUUGUGCAUAAGGGUGCAUAUUGGAAUGGCAAACAAUGUUGUCUAAGGAAGUUUUCAUUUUCGUUGGAUGAAAAAACCAUUUUCCAUUUUUCGAGUGCCCGAAAGGAGGUUUUUUGGUGAAGGAACUACCAAAUAAUUGUUGCAAAAUUGGACCAAAUCAUUUUUCUAAAAUACUAGGCCAUAUAUAAUGCACAAUUGACAAAAUGGUUGGGUGAAAAAAGUUUUGAUCCACCUCUGAUGAAAAAGACAAAUUGUCGUCGAUUCAGUUGGAAACGGGUCAAAUUUGAAUUGUAGCUGCCUCAUAGUUUGCUCUUUAUUUUUUCCAAAAAUCAUUUCUAGGUACAUAAGUAUCUAUUUAAUCAUAGAAACACCAAAAAAAUUCCAAGAUUCAACCACUAGCUAGGAACGGUCAAGCCCGCCGUUUUGACCGCAUUUUGAAACGGGCAUAAAAAAUUCAAAAAAAAUCAAAAAAUUGGAAAACCUUCGCAUUGUGUCAUUAUAUGUGACCAAGUUUCCAGGAAAAAUAAUAAACUUGUAAUACGGUAAUUAUUUUUAAAAAGUGUUCUCAGAAAGGAGGUAUCAAGUGUGAAGAUUCAUGGCUUUCAAGCCAAAUGAUCAAUCUUAUGGCCACAUUCAUGGCAUAGUUUGUUCAAAUGAUCUCAUAUUGUGCACAAGGGUGCAUAUUGGAAUAGCAAACAAUGUUUCCUAAGGAAGUUUUCAUUUUCGUUGGACGAAAAAAACCAUUUUCCAUUUUUCGAGUGCCCGAAAGGAGGUUUUUUUGUGAAGGAACUACCAAAUAAUUGUUGCAAAAUUGGACCAAAUCAUUUUUAUAAAAUACUAGGCCAUAUUUAAUGCACAAUUGACACAAUGGUCUGGUGUAAAAAAUUUUGACCCACCUCUCGUGAAAAAGACAAAUUUCUAUCGAUUCAGCUGGAAGCGGGUCAAAUUUGAACUGGAGCUGCCUCAUAGUUUGCUAUUUAUUUUUUCCAAAAAAUCAUUUCUAGUUACAUAAGGACCUAUUUAAUCAUAAAUACAUGGUUUGGUGGCGAUACGUCGAGGUUUGGGCGGUGGCCGAGGGCCCCAACUCUAGAGCGCGUAAACUCGCAUGCCCGCCGCGUGGUCACCGCGUGACUGUGGCGUUGCCAUGUGUUAUGGGCGGCCUAGGCAUGUCUAGUGGGUUGGGCACUCCCCAGGUUGGUGCUAGGAAGAAAAUUACAACAUAAGAUUCUCACGAGGAGACCAAUCGAUGCUCAAACAUGAAUUAGCAGCCAAGUGUUUGAUUAGCGGUACGGGAAAUGUACAUGGCUAAUGGGCGUGAGUUUUGGCUGAGGAUGAUCAGUUACUAAGAAGACCGUUUUCACAAAUUUUCAGCUCAAAAGGAGGAGCCUAGGUGGUACUUGCUUUGCAAACCACCACACUGGACAUAAAUACGAAUGUUGAAGCUCGGCUCAAAAUAAUGAAUGGAUUGAGCUGGCAUUUGGUGGAGGAUGGUUAUUUGGGCAUAGGAAAGCACUGUAGAAAAUGGAUACUAUUUGGACAUGCCAAAGUGGUACUUCCUUCACAAACUGUUACUCUAAACAGAAUAGGAAAAUGAAUAUUUUUGAAUUAUUUUCGAACUAGGCAAGGAAGGUUUUUACAUAUUUGACGAAGAUAUGACCCAAAGAAUUUAUGAGAUUUUUUUGGGAAUUUUGAGAAUGACAGAAAUAUAGGUUGCUUCACAACCUAGGGCAAAAACUGCCACAUGGACAUGACACAUAGGCACGCCUAGUCAUAGCAACCCACCACGGUUUACAAGGCUAUGACCAUCUAUAUUGAUCGUUAACAACUAGAAAUAAGGCAGCGGACUAGCACUGUUAGCUUUAUGACCAUUUCAUGUAAGGAAAUUAUGACCUUUCUGACCAAAAUGGUCACAAUGGUUUAGGAUUUGGAGCCCCUCGAACAGCUUUUGACCAAUUGGUCUCAAAUGGUCAUAAAUCUAUGACCAAUUCUUCCAGGGUCACUGACAGAAGGUCAUAAGUUGGCAUAUUUCUUGUAGUGGUGUUCUGUGCAUCCGGAAUUACACUGCUGCUAUAUUUUUUUUUCAUUUACUGGAAAUAUAAACAGAUUAUUACAAGUCUCUUGUGACCAGUCUUUAGUGCGUAAGAUGAUAUAGCUAAUCCUACAUGACAUGCCAAUUUGUUGACUCUACGAGGAAGUUGAUCAGCCAAUGGUGGGUAUGUUUUAAUUUGUUUUAGACAUUUGACCGACAGUACCUCAAGGAUUGGUUUGAGAAGAACGGGCAUAUCUGUCCUGUGACCGGCGAGCCUGUUUCAGGUGUCAUUGUCCGGAACGAGCGUAUCAGAGGGUACUUGCGCGAGUGGGAAGAACCCAAGAUGGAGCAGAUCACGAAGGUCUCAAAGAACAUGAAGUAGUAGGAAUGACAGUAUAGUUCGUCAUAUUUCACGGCAUGUAUAUAUAUAUAUAUGUCUUGUGUGCUUCCGAAUUACACCGCUGCUACUUUUUAUCUUUUACUGGAGAUAUAAACAGAUCAUUACAGUCUCUUGUGACCUAAUUUCACAAUCUUUAGUGCGUAAGAUAAGAUGAUAGCUAAUCCUACAUGACAUGUGCCAAUUUGUUGACUGUACGAGGAAGUGAUCAGCCAAGCGAUUGGCGCCUCGGCGUGAGCGGUGCAAACGAGUAGUUGAACGCGCCGGAGACGACGGCCUCUGCUCGGUCGUCGAGCUCCUUCUCCAGGCGGCGCCACAGCCGCGCCACGGUGGCCUUGCGCGCCUCGUUGUCCUUCAGCUCGGGGUCGUAGUGCGCCCACAUGAUCCCGUCGAACUCCUCGAAGCGAUGGUCCACGUCGCUGGCCUUGGCGUGCAUGUCCCUAAACUCCAUGAGGAAGACGGACUGGUGCUCCUCCUCGUCCUCGGACCCGUCCACCUCGGCCUCUGCGGUGCCGUCGUCGUCCUCCUCCUCGUCCUCGGACCCGUCCACGUCGGCCUCUGCGGUGCCGUAGUCGUCGUCCUCCUCGUCCUCGGACCCGUCCACCUCGGCCUCUGCGGUGCCGUCCUCGUCGUCCUCGGGCUCCGAUUCCCUGGCCCUCAGACUGGCCAGCACACUGCGCCGCAGCCUGUCGCUCUCGCCGUUGUUGUCGCUGAGGAGGGAGCUGUAGAUGUAGAUGUCCUUCUUCAUGUCCAGCUUGAGCUUCUGGAUCUGGUGCGCCACGAUGAGCCGCAUCGACAGGUCGUACUCCAAGCUGCGGAUCAAGACCUCGUCGUCGUCGUCCUCCUCCAGGUCCAGGGAGAUGUUUGCCGGCGACGAUUGCAGCUCUUGGGUGCCGUCGCUCUUCAUGUGGUCGGCUGGUGAUGAGAUUGCGGGAGCUGUCGCCUUGACGACUUCCCCAGUUUCCACGGCUGCCAUUGAUCGCUCAGGCAAUCAACACGAUCAAAAAUGGACAGGGAUCAACUCCACCCUAACUAGGUAACUAGGUAGUCAAGCAUUGGCAUUCAUAUAUACUCCGUAGUUUCAACAAGGCAAGGGCCAGGCCGACUCGGCCGGCUGAUCCUACGUGGUUGAGUCGGUGUCGGUCACGUACGGCACUGCGACUCAUGAACGGGACAUCAUUCUUGUCUUUUUCUUUCUUUCUUUUUUUUGACAGCACUUUGGUUCCUCGGAUUCACGGUUGCUUGACUUUUGGAUCUUUAUAAAUAUUUCCUUUUGCCCUAGAGCUUGUAAUAAGGGCAUCUCCAACCGCGUUAUUUAAAUCGGACACACUAAACAUCUACGGACGCGUCCAAACACGGAUAGCAGAAGCCGGUCAUCCAACUCUCUGCAUCGAAGGUCUGCCGCUUAAAAUUUUCCCUAUGUCCGGAUCACUCAAAAGAAUUGUAGAAAAAAGCAUAAUUCAACGAUAAAUAGCAUGCAAACAUUCGAGUGCAAAAAUAGUUCAAAUAUAAAUAUUACAUUCAAAAUAACAGGAUGUUCAACAAGUUGUAGGGUGUGAAUUCUAGUUCAUCUGCACACUGUGUCCCUUGAGCUUCAUCCAACAACGCAUCAACAAGAAUGCCCUACCUCUGUUGUUUACUUCAACGCAACCGUGCAUCCGGGCUAUACAAUUAGGUGAUCAUCAACAUGAAUGACCUGCACUCCGUUGAGUGAAUCAAUAAUUGACCAACAUGUAGAGCAACAAGAGAAAAAAUUAUGAUCUUCACGAUUGAUUCGCCGGUGGCCAUCCUCUUUCCACCCAUGCGAUCGCACUGCAAUACUUCAUGCGGAGUUUGAGAUGGUGUACUAUAGGUGGACCAACGACUUCACAUUGCGCUCAUGGAUUGUGAGCAAGUUAUAGGGCGCAAAGUGCUUUUGCUCGUGAAACCAAGAAUGCACAUUUUGCCAAAAAUAUUGUGCACCCUUGCUUUAUGCCUACAAAGUCCACACUUCUGGCCAAUGGCGGACCUAGGGUUUGAAAAUUGGGUGUUCAAUUUUUUUUCAUGUAAUAUCUAAAAGGUUCAUGUUAUCAUGUAGCUAGUAAGAACUUUUUCCCCAAUAAUAAUGACAGUACCCUAUAGAAAAACAAAAGAGAAUACUAUUUUCUACAAAAUCACACAAUAUGUCAUGGCCAGAAACGAGGCGUUGUUAAACUGUGAACUUUUUCGAUAUUCUGACCAUAUUUUUGAGUUCACGAAUAUUUAUAUGAAAUCAUGAAUACUUUUUCAAAAAUUCGUGAACAUUUUAUGAAUUCAUGAACUUUUUUCACAAAUUUGUGAACAUUUUUCUAAACUGUGAACGCUUCUUAAAACUCAUGAACAUUUUUUGGAUCUGCCAACAGUUCUUGAAUUUUGGGAACAAUUUUUUAAUUUCACGAACAUUUUUUUCUGAACAGUUUUUGAAUGCAUGAACAUUUUUUAACCAAUGAAGUAUUUUGAAUUUUUUGGAAACAAUUAUUGAAAUUUACAAACGUUUCUUCAUUUUUUGUCAACUUUUUACGAAAAUUCACAUUAUAUGAAUUAGGGAAAUUCUAAUUCAUGAACAUUUUCUGAAUAUACGAACAUUUCUAAAAAUUGUGAACAUUAUUUGAAUGUACGAACAUUUUUUGAAAUCAUGAACAUUUUCUUAGUGUUUGAUCAUUUUAUGCUUUCUCGAACAAUUUUUCAACAUGAUCAUUUUAUGAAUUCUUGAAAAAGAAGGGAAAAAAUAGGGGCGACCCGCCCCGCAGAUGGGCCGGCCCAACAGGGCGUGUGUGUGCGCGGGGGUGCGUGUUUCCGCUUCACUGUGCAUAUGGGUCGCCAUAUUGACUUCCCUUCAUAUAGACCCAUGUCUAGAUAUGCAUUAUCUAUGUCAGGCCCAUGGGCACCUAUGUUAAGUCUUCCUUAUUAUUCUUGUUUUUCUUUUAGACACAGACUUUUGGAACAUGGUUCCACACACACCUAUUUUGAAUAGUAAAAUUAAAAAAUGCUAGAAAAUCAAUCAGCUCUGAAUCUUUUUUUUGUUACAUACAUGGUUGUGUUCUACUCAUGUGUGAAGUUUCAUAGAGAAAUGACAUUCAUGGUAUUCUCGGCAAAAAUCAAAAAUAAAUUCAAUGGUGACAAUGUCCUGGAUUAGGGGAUGCUAACCUAGUCGGCCCGUACUCCUCCGAUUGGGCCGGUGGGCCCUCAUUCAUCUCAAGAUGGACUCUGGCAGCCACACGCUAGAGGCGAGAUGAAGACUGCCGCUGCUGAAGACUUCUCCUGCCGCCUCCACACCAUGUUACCGACCUUGUAACCCUAGAUGUCUUACCUAGCGUGUAUAUAAGCCAAUCGGUUUAGCCCGUAAAGGGGACUUCAACACAAUCGCAUUCACCUGGCCCUAGAGUUAGUACACAUCUAACGAUCUCGAGGUAGAUCAACUCUAUACUUGAUACAUCUCCAUCAAUAUAAACAAGAGUAGGACGUAGGUUUUACCUCCAUCAAGAGGGCCUGAACCUGGGUAAACAUUGUCUCCUUGUUCCUGUUACCAUCUGUCCGAGAUCCACAGCUCGGGACCCCUACCCCGAGGUUUGUCGGUUUUCACAUCGACACUAGUGCUUUCAUUGAGAGUCCCGUUGUGUGAUCAGCAAAGGGUCGACGGGAUCGUCGGUUAACGACACAAAUCUCCCGAGCUCAAUCUCCGUGCUCGGAACUUCUGCCAUGGAAACACCUUUCCACCUUUACGAGCUAGAAGCGACCUAUGACUCCUCUCCGACCCGUGUCGAACCCCCUCUCAAGAGCGAUGGGCCGAGGUACUUUUUGGAAAGUGACUCGGACAGCGGCCGGCUAGACGCAGCUGAUGAAACAAAUCUUCAAAUCAGUCUGGCCGAUCCGACGGCCACAGGUAUGUCACGGGAUGAGGAUGCUAGAGCUUCGAGCCCGCGAUCCCUAGAGAUCGAAAUCACCCGCCCACCUCCCACAUCGAAUAUCGCCCUGAGGACUCGGGCCCACCAGAUGGCUGGGAUCUGGCUUAAGUGUAGCAACUCUUCGACAAAUCAAUAAGACAGUUCUAGGCCAGGUUCUUGUCAGUCAAAAACAAUAUACCGGAAUACCAGGACUCGGAUAUCAUAACAGCUAUCUAACACGGAUGCAAGGAUAAAGGCGUUUCAAACGCCCUCGCCAUCCACUGUGUUCAAACACUCCUAGAAUUGUCUAAUCUGGUGUCCAAAUUCUGCCCAAUCAAAGAUGCUUGGCUGGCCAGGAAAAACACAUAUUCGAUCUGCGAACACAAUUCAAAAUGUGACCUGUACGCGAAACAUACCGGCCGAGCAAGCUCGGAAGAAGAAGAAAACUUCUGGUCACCCCGGGACAACCCUUGAUGGCCUCCUAGACAAGUCAUGCUCGAUACACGCUAUUCUACUCAAUUCCUACCCAACUCACAGCCUUCAAAACUGUUGGGUGGUAAGGCAGGUGGCUAAAGGCAGACCCAGCCUCCUGGCAGGUACCUUGUUCACGCAAAAGAGUCCUCGGGCGAGGACGGAGUCAUGAUGAUCUACAAGACUUUCAUGUCCAAUAACCAACACGAACGGGCCGUGUCGGAAGUCAAUUCUAUCCGGCAGGUGCUAACUCGGGGCACCUGGAUAGACACACCGAUCACUUUUGAUCAUAAAGAUUAGCCGAGGUCGACCCCGAAUAGGUGCCCACCGCACUGGUCCUUGACGCAAUUUUGGGCGGUUGCUGUCUUCGGAAGGUACUCAUGGACGGAGGAAGUAGCUUAAAUCUAAUAUACGUAGGCACUCUGGACAGAAUGCAAAUUGAUAAAUUGCGCAUAGAACAGAGUAGAACCACCUUCAAAGGUAUCGUACCUGGGAGAAAAGCAUGUUGCACCAGGAAAUAACCUUGGACAUGGUCUUCGGUACCCCGGAUAAUUACUGAUCCAAAGAAGUUACGUUCGACAUCACUCCUUUUAAGAGUGGGUACCAUGCCCUUCUGGGACGAGACCCCUUCUCCAAGUUCCAAGAAAUACCGCAUUACGGCUACAUGAAGCUUAAAAUGUCGGCCCCACAUGGGACCAUUACUAUCUUGAAUGACCUCGACAAAGCACUCAAAGCCGAGAAUAAAAUAGCACCACUCACCCUCGAAUCCUUGUUCGAAGCCCUCGCGGCUGAGGAACUAACCACACUACAAGCCGAAGUCGAUCGAGAUGAUGUCGUCCUUGACAAACGGCCGAAGUCUACUUCAUUCAAGUCGAUUAAUGAAAUAGUUAAAUUCCAAGUACGCCCCAAGGACCUAGCUAAAAUGGUGUCCAUAGGGGCAAACCUUGAUCCAGAGAUUGACAAGGUGCUACGCAAUUUCCUUAAGGAAAAUUUGGAUAUAUUCGCCUGGCACCCUUUAGACAUGCCAGGGAUACCCUGCAGGCUCGCGAAACACAACCUAAAUAUAUUGAAGGGCUACAAGCCCAUCAAACAAGCACUUUGGCAUUUCUCUGAACCCAAGCGUCAAACAAUGUGCGAGGAACUGGCCAAACUACUGGAAGGCGGGUUCAUCCAAGACAUAAAACACCCUGAAUGGCUCCCCAAUUUGGUCAUGGUGCCAAACAAGGACAGAACCUGACGCUUAUGCAUCAAUUUGAAAGACCUCAAUAAUGCAUGCCCCAAGGACCCCUUCCCCCUGCCGAGAAUUGACCAAACUGUGGAUGCCACAGCCGGGCACGACUAGUUGUGCUUCCUGGAUGCCUAUUCAGGACAUCAUCAAAUAAAGAUGAAAGAAUCUGACUAGGAAGCUACAACAUUCAUCACACCUUAUGGGUCAUUCUAUUUCAACACGAUGCCCUUCGGACUAAAGAACGUCGGCGCCACAUAGUAGUGCAUGAUUCAAUCAUGCUUGGAAAAACACAUCGGGAAGACCAUCGAGGCCUAUGUCAAUGAUGAUGUUGUCAAAACCAAAAACUUUGGACAGUUGGUAGACAACCUCCCUGACACAUUUGUGAGCCUACGGGAGUACCAAAUUAAACUCAAUCCGGAGAAAUGCGUCUUCGGAGUUCCAGCCGGCAAACUCCUCAGCUUCAUCGUAUCUAGCUAAGGAAUCGAGGCUAAUCCGGCAAAAAUACGAGCCUUGGACCACCUCGAGGUACCAACAGAGCUCAAACAUGUACAUGAACAAGCAGGUUGCGGGUAGCAUUAAGUCGCUUCAUAUCAAGACUCGGCGAGAAAGCUUCACCUUUGUAUAAGUUGUUAAAGCAAACAAAGACUUUCAAAUGGACCGAAGAAGCUACGGUGGCCCUGGAAGACAUCAAAGUUCUCCUCGCCACCAACCCAUCUUAGCAGCGCCAGACAUAUGCGAGAUGAUGCUAUUAUACAUCUUGGCCACAAACCAGGCGGUUAGCGCAGUUGAAAGGAUCGAUAUGGUUGACUAGAGGGGGGGUGAAUAGGCAACUAACAAUUUUAGCUUUUCUUUACCAAAUUAAACUUUGCAUCAAAGUAGGUUGUCUAGAUAUGCAACUAGGUGAACAACCUAUAUGAUGCGACAAGAACAAGCGCACGAGCAAGUAAGGGAAACAACACAAGUAAGCUUGCAAAAGUAAAGGCGUGAGAUAACCAAGAGUGGAGCCGGUGGAGACGAGGAUGUGUUAUCGAAGUUCCUUCCUUUUGAGGGGAAGUACGUCUCUGUUGGAGCGGUGUGGAGGCACAAUGCUCCCCAAGAAGCCACUAGGGCCACCGUAUUCUCCUCACGCCCUCACACAAUGCGAGAUGCCAUGAUUCCACUAUUUGUGCCCUUGAAGGCAGCGACCAAACCUUUACAAACAAGGUUGGGGCAAUCUCCACAACAAUUGGAGGCUCCCAACAACACCACGAAGCUUCACCACAAUGGAGUAUGUCUUCGAGGUGACCUCAACCGUCUAGGGUGCUCAAACACCCAAGAGUAACAAGAUCCGCUAGGGAUAAGUGGGGGGAAUCAAAUCUCUCAGUGGAAGUGUAGAUCGGGGCCUUGUCACCCAAUCCCGAGCAAAUUAACAAGUUUGAUUGGCUAGGGAGAGAGAUCAGGCGAAAAUGGAGCUUGGAGCAACAAUGGAGCUUAGAGGUGGAAGAGGUAGUCAACUAGAGGUAGGAGACGCCCCUUUUAUAGUCAUGGAAGAAACCCAACCAUUAUCCACUUAGACCAGCCUGCGACAUGCGGUACUACCGCUCCAGGGGCGCGGUACUACCGCAAGGCCACGCGGUACUACUGUGGGAGACCACGGUACUACCGCGGCAGCUGCAGAGACUAUACCAUAGGCAGUACUACCGUGAGCGCGGUACUACCGCACCGACCCGCGGUACUACCGCGAGGCAGGUAAGACUAAGUCUGGAAUCGGCACGGAUGAAUGAAAAUACAUCCAUGCCUAGUUCCGCUGUCAAAGAGACGGUGCAAACAUCCGUCACGGUACUACCGUCCAUAGGGCGCGGUACUAUUGUGUGGGUGCGGAUGUAAAAAAUUACAUCCGCCCCUACUACCGUGAAGCCACGGCACUAGGCCAAGGAACCACGGUACAACGGCUCGGAGGGAGCGAUACUACCAUGGCCACCAGCAGUACUACCGCCCUAGACGUGCGGUACUACCGUGUGGGCGCGGAUGUAAGCGGUACUUGGCCUAGCAGCCAUGGUACUAUGACUCCGAGGGAGCGGUACUACCGUGGGCUCGCGCGGUACUACCGCGCAUGGGCACGGUACUACCGUGUGUGCCUGUGGUACUACCGCUCCAGGGAGCAGUACUACCGCAAGCUCAGCAACAGUAGUCCAGACAUUCGCAUAGAGGAUAGACGGGGAAUGCUCCAAGGUGCAAGGGAAAGAAGGAGACAAUGAAGAAAACGUGUACGUGAUGAUUCCUCCCAACCUUUCCAACGCGGACCCCCUCUUAAUAGUACGGUUCUCCUACGACUCAAAUCCACCAAAAAGAAACGUAGAACAAUGCCGUCUUCAAUAGUCUUGAGGGGCACCGAAUCGUCUCGUGCCUAGUGAUAAAGUGUCUGAGAAACUCAAGGCACAUGAUUAGUCCGCAAAUGCAUUGUCAUCAAUCACCAAAACACCUAAGGGAUAAAUAUGCCCUUACAAUCUCCCCCUUUUUGGUCGAUUGAUGACAAUACGGGAUUUGCACAUAGAUGAGAUAAUAUUGAGCAAAGGCAAACCCCUCCUCUCUAAAAUAUAGACGGGCUCCCCCUAGAUGUGUGCAAUCUAGAUGGAUGCUUUGGACUGCAUAGCACACAAACUAGGAUCAACACUCCCCCUAUAUUUUAGAGACAAAGGCAAGAUAACUAACAUCUAAGCAGAGCAUUGCACAAAGGUAGCACAAUAUAUCACAAGCUCGCUAAGAUAGAUAUAGUGCAUAUGUCUUACACCAUAUGAAGUAAAGCAACCCAAAGCAACUGAAACGAGGUUCAAACGAGGUUCAACCGAGAAAGCAGCAAACACACCGAACACGAACGACACACGACUCGCAAAUCCCUACUCUCUCUCCCCCUUUGGCAUCGAGACGCCAAAAACGCAGAGAGGACACCUACACACAAGGGGUGGCUCAAGCAAGGAACUCAUCCCAAUGCCCGUCGUCAGACUCCUCGGCGGCAGGGAUGGACUCCUUGACGUCCUCCUCAGAAUCAGUCCAUCUGUCGCCUUGCUUCUCCAUCCACUCGGCCUCUAGAGUGAUGCGAUCCUCAGAACCGCCAGACACUUCCUCGCCAUACAGCUCCAAGAUCUUCUUGUCCCGGCGACGACUCUCCUUAGAUGCCACGUGAGUCCUGUACUGCCCCUUGGCUUGCAUGCAAAAAAGAGUCUUCAUCUUGUCGUUCAGCUUCUUGGCCCACGAGGGCAUAGAAGAACUCUAGGAAGACCGAGCAGAACGGCCCUCAGCAACAUCCUCGGCGCCGGCAUCCUCCUCAUCAACAGCAGCCCUAGCAGCAGUCGCCUCAGCCCGAGUAGUAGUGUUGGCCCAGUUGGGCUUGACACGGAGACAAAUGGGAUCAUGUCGAAUCCAGUCAGGAGCAAGGAACUCAUCACCAGGGUACAUCUUCUCCCAGGUCUUCGAGAUCAGCAGAAACAGAUAGGGCCCAUAGAUAGGCACCUUGCGGUUGAAUACCGCAAACCGAAGCUCACACCACAUGAUGUGGGAGACAUCAAAUGGCUGAGUCUGAGACAGACGAGCCUCCUCGCAGAUGAGCAUCAUAUCCACCAUAUAGGCAUGAACCUUGUCCUUGUCACCAAUGCGAGGGAACAAGGAGUUGCGGAAGAUGCUAUACAUGAUAUCCAGAAAAGAGUUGAGCACCUACCCCGUCUUCCCAUUGGCGAGAGCCUUCUCAACAAAGUAUGGCGCAAGCUUGUCCUUGUUGGCAGACUCAGAAUUUGCAUGGGGGCGAACACCCACGGGAGUGUUGAGCCCGUCAUCAAGAACCUGGAGCAAAUCCAUGAACUCCUUCCAGGUAGCAGUCAGCUUACGGCCAUUAGUCAUCCAGGUCAUCCUCCGCUCCUCAUCAGGGUGAAAGUAUACUGAGGCAAAGAACUGACAGAUAAGCUCAGGGUCAUAGUCAAGGUGAAAGGAUAUCACAUGCUCAAUACCAAACUGCUCCACCAAGUCCAGAGCUUCUCCAAAGUACUCACGAAACUUGUCCUUCCUCAUGUGAUGCAUUUAAAUCCAUUUCACAUCCAUGUAGGUAUUCUGCUUAUUCUUGAUGACAUCCAGAUAAAUGAGAGUCUGUUGCUUGUUCCAAAACAGCUCACAACCUCUGACAGAAGAAUGAGGGUUCACAUACGGGUGGAGUUGCCUGAGACGGACGUACUCAGACUGGGAUAUCUCGUCCAUGCCCUUAGCGGGCUCCUUGUUCUUGCUAGCGGAUGUCUUGACAUGGCACUUGGGGGCAAUGGAGCCCUCUGGUGCUUCACCUGGGUUGCGCAGAUGCUUGGAGCCAGUGUCACGACUGGGAUUGGAAUGGUGGGAGCCACCACCUGAGACACAAACGCAAAACACCCACGAAACGCAAAGAGAAUCAAUGCAAAGACCACAGCAAAGCACAAGAAACACAUAGAAAGUAUACGUGAAAGUUGCCAUGAGAUAGAUGUGAACCACGGUAGUACUGCCAGAGCCUGCGGUACUAAAAUUUUAGUACCUCUCCAAGUCGCGGUAGUACCGUGCGUGGUCAUGGUAGUACCAUGGUGGGAGCGGUAGUAAAGAUUUAGUGCCGCAGUGAGCGCGGUAGUACCGUGGCAGACGGGUGGUAGUACCGCGCCAGUCGGGCGGUAGUACCGUGCCGCGUCAGAUCCAAAUGAUAGUUCGAAUCUGAAAAGAACUGCGAAACCACGCGGCGCUACGGUGAUCAAAUCUAGCACAGGACAAAAUACAAGUAUAAUUCCUACGCAAAGCUACACUCCUUCAUCCUACUCUUGCAUAGAUUUAGCCUAAGAAUCUCUAGAACACACAAGUCUCCCCCAAAAAGUUGGGGAAAGACCUUGGUCCAUAGCAAGAGCACGUGGUGGGGAACGAUCCCACCGGACGGAAUCACGGGAGGGCAAUCGGAGGCAGAGAUCCGGCGACGAACGCUGGCUCCGUUCUUGAGCAAGGGAGAGAGAGAGAUGAUGUGGGGGAACUGCGAAUGGGUAUGGGGGAGUUAGAACUCCCCCCGCCCGUCCUUAUCCCCACGCGUCCAGGAGGCCACGGUAGUACCGCAUAUCAUCGCGGUAGUACCGCUCGGGCGGAAGUACCGCACCAAAGCGGUAGUACCGCUCACCCAGGCGGCAGUAAAAAAUUACUGCCGCGUGGGGGCGGUAGUACCGUGCUCCCCACAAGCGGUAGUACCAUAGCUGGCUGCGGUAGUACCGUAGCUGGCUGCGAUAGUACCAUGAGCUCAAGACAAAGCAGGUAUCAACCCAAGAAGAAGGUCUUUGCAAGGAAACUUUUCACACAAAGGACACCACAAGGACACGCACAAUCCAAAGGCAGAAAGACAACAAGAAAACACCAAGCGACACAACCUCUCAAAAAGGAGAGGGCGGUGGCCGGAGCCACCUAUGUUUGAGUUAGUUGGUAUGGCACCACGAAGAAUUAUCCUUGGGCCCAUGACCAAAACUCGUCUUUGAAGCACAAGUACCAUCAAAAUGGCUAAUGUGAAAGAGUUGAUCUAUUUAUGCAUAAUGGGGGGAGGGAAAGUUCAUUGAGAGAACAACACUCCCCCUAUGUCCAUGCCUACACCUAAACUAGACAACAAGUUGAGUGUGGUGGGGGUGCAAGGGUUCAAGUCACAUUGCUCGAAUCAAUGAUAUUUAGCUCAUGCCUUAACUCGUGAAAUCUUGCUUCAUACAAGGGCUUUGUGAAAAUAUCUACAAGGUUAUCAUGAGUAAUGACAUACUUGAGCUCGAUCUCCCUUCGCCUAAUGUGAUCCCGGAUGAAGUGAUACCGAAUCUCAAUAUGCUUCGUCUUGAAGUGUUGCACCGGGUUGAGAGAAAUCUUGAUGGCACUUUCAUUAUCACACCAAAGAGGCACUUUGUCACAAAUGACACCGUACUCCUUUAAAGUUUGCCUCAUCCAUAAGAGUUGUGCACAACAACUACCGGCCGCCACAUAUUCUGCUUCGGUGGAUGAGAGAGACACACAACUUUGCUUCAUGGAAGACCAACUCACCAAAGAGCAACCAAGAAAUUGUCACCCUCCGGAGGUGGACUACCUAUCCACUUUGUCUCCCGCCCAAUCGGAAUCCGUAUAUCCUUCAAGCUUGAAGUUUGCCCCUCUUGGGUACCAUAAGCCAAAGUUUGGGGUAUGAGCCAAAUAUUGAAAGAUUCGCUUGACCGCCACAUAGUCACUUUCCUUUGGUGCGGCUUGAAACCGUGCACACAUUCCCACACUCAACAUGAUAUCCGGUCUAGAUGCACAAAGGUAAAGCAAUGAACCGAUCAUGGAGCAAUAUACCUUUUGAUCCACCGCUUUACCAUUGGGAUCAAUGUCAAGUUGGAACUUGGUAGGCAUUGGAGUAGAAGCCGGCUUGACAUCACUUAGCUUGAAUGUUUUUAGCAUGUCUUGAGUAUAUUUGGCUUGGUUGAUGAAGGUUCCUUCUCUUAUUUGUUUGAUGUCAAAACCAAGGAAGAACUUCAACUCUCCCAUCGAAUACAUCUUGAACUUGGAGGUCAUGAGAGCGGCAAAUUCCUCAUUGAAAGCUUUGUUAGGGGAACCAAAGAUAAUAUCAUCAACAUAUAGUUGGCAUACAAACAACUCCCCUUUGACCUUCUUAGUAAAAAGAGUGGGAUCGAUUUGCCCCACCUCAAAUCCACGAUCUUGUAACAACUCGGUAAGGUGGUCAUACCACGCACGUGGGGCUUGUUUAAGGCCAUAGAGUGCCUUAUCGAGUUGAUACACAUGAUCCGGGAAGUAGGGAUCCUCGAACCCGGGGGGGUUGCUUGACAUAGACCAACUCAUUAAUAGGACCAUUAAGAAAAGCACUUUUCGCAUCCAUUUGUUGCAACUUAAAGUUGUGAUGGGAAGCAUAAGCAAUCAACAAACGAAUGGAUUCAAGGCGAGCAACGGGAGCAAAGGUUUCAUCAUAGUCGAUACCCUCGACUUGGGAGUAGCCUUGUGCUACCAAUAUUGCCUUGUUGCGGAUGAUGUUCCCAUGAGCAUCUUGCUUCUUCUUGAAAAUCCACUUGGUUCCAAUGACGUUGUGGUUCCCCGUUGGCCUUGGCACCAAUCUCCACACCUUGUUGUACUCGAAGUUGUUGAGUUCUUCAUGCAUAGCAUUGAGCCAAUCCGAGUCUUCAAGCGACUCAUAGACCUUUUGGGGUUCAACACAAGAGACAAACGCGUGAUGUUCACAAUAGUUUGCUAAUUCUCUACGAGUGCUUACCCCCUUUCUUAGGCUUCCAACCACAUUCUCCAUGAGAUGGCCUUUGAUGGUGAGCUUGGAAGCAAUCUUCACGGCACGACGCUCUAAUUCCUCCUCGGAUGUGGAAGGAGGAGGGUUAACUUGAUCAUCUUGAGCGUCGUCAUGAGCUUGUUCUUGAUCUUGAGCUUGCUCAUGAUCUUGAACUUGCUCGAGGGGGAGAACUUGACCUUGGGCAUCAUUUGGGGGUUCACCAUCAUCUUGAGAUUGAUCUUGCCCUUGGUCUUGUUCAUGAGGUUGAGGGCCUUCACUUUGUUCUUUGAAAGCGUGUGGGUCUUGGGGAGGUGAUGGCUCCACUUGAAUGGAGCAUUGUCCUUCUCCUUCGGCCACAAGGGGUUCCUCAAUGGGUAGAAUAUGACCAAUACCCAUUCUUCUUAUGGCUUGGGGAGGAAUUUCAUCACCUACAUCACAAGUACCACUUUGCUCCACUUGGGAGCCGUUAUUUUCGUCAAACUCCAUGUUACACGUCUCCUCAAUGAGUCCGGUGGACUUGUUGAGGACACCGUAAGCAUGGGAGUUUGUAGCAUAACCAACAAAUAUGCCCUCAUAAGCUCUAGCCUCAAAUUUAGACAAACGAACACCUUUCUUGAGAAUGAAACACUUACACCCGAACACCCGGAAGUACUUGAGAUUGGGCUUGUUGCCGGUGAGUAUCUCAUAAGGAGUCUUGUUCAAGCCUUUGCGGAGAUAGAGCCAAUUGGAUGCAUGACAUGCGGUGUUGAUGGCUUCGGCCCAAAAGUUGUAUGGAGACUUGAACUCCGCCAUCAUGGUCCUUGCCGCAUCCAUCAACGUCCGGUUCUUCCUCUCCGCAACCAUUUUGUUGAGGGGUGUAAUGUGCAGCAUAUUGAUGCUUGAUCCCCUCAUCACUAAGAAACUCAUCCAAGGUGUAGUUCUUGAACUCGGUGUCAUUAUCACUUCUUAUUGUCAAGAUCUUUGCAUUAUGUUGACGUUGAGCUUCAUUUGCAAAGUCGAUGACGGUUUGUUGAGUCUCACUCUUCCUCUUGAAGAAGUAUACCCAAGUGUAUCUUGAAUAAUCAUCCACAAUCACCAAGCAAUACUUUCUAUCUCCAAGACUAUCAAAUGAUGGGGGCCCAAAGAGAUCCAUGUGAAGGAGCUCCAAGGGUCUCUUCGAGUAGAUGAUUGUUGUGGGAGGGUGAGCCUUCUCAUGAAGCUUUCCUUCAAUACAAGCACUGCAAGCACGGUCUUUGGCAAAACUAACAUUUGUUAGUCCACGAACAUGGUCCCCCUUGAGAAGACUUUGCAAAGAUCUCAUAUUGACGUGGGCUAAACGGUGAUGCCAAAGCCAUCCCACGUCAACUUUUGCCAUUAGGCAUGUCGCAGUCUUAGUUGGUCGCUCCAAAAAGUUUAUCACAUAGAGACCGUUCUCGACAUGCCCAACAAAGGCUACUUUAAGAGUCUUGCUCCACAAGAGGGCCACGGUAUCAAUGUCAAAGAAAGUGGCAAAGCCCAUGAGUGCAAGUUGACAAACGGAAAGUAAAUUGUAUGCAAGGGAUUCAACAAGCAUGACUUUCUCGAUCGUUAGAUCAUGAGAAAUGACAACCUUGCCAAGACCCAAUACCUUAGAAUGUGAGGCAUCACCCCACUCGACAUUGAUGGGCAUAGAUGGAAUCUUUUGCACGUCCACCACCAAGUCCUUGCUUCCGGUCAUAUGAUUUGUUGCUCCACUAUCGAGCAACCAUGACCCCCCACCGGAAGCAAACACCUACAAGAGAUCAAUGCUUGGUUUUAGGUAUCCAUUUAGUAAUGGGUCCUUUGAUGUUAGUAACAAGGGUCUUAGGAACCCAAAUAGACCAUUCAAUGUACUCAUAAGGAGAACCAACAAAUUCAGCAUAAACAUGUCCAUCACUAGCACGGCACAACACAUAUGACGGGUUAAAGUCGCCGGCUUUGUUGGAGGAGAUGGUCUUGCCCUUUUUGACAUCAACGCCCUUCACUUUUUCCUUCUUCUCCUUAGGAGCACCCUCUCCCUCUUUCACAAAAGUUUGCUUGAGAGGAGGUGGACGAUAGGUCUUGUCGUUCUUCUUCUUAUUCUUGGACUUGGGGGCAAACCCAAUUCCCUUCUUGGCCACAACUUCCUUUCGAUUACUCAAAAGGUCGUUGAGGUUCUUCUCACCUUGAAUGCAAGUCACAAGGCCUUUCUCAAGUUGAUCCUUCAACUUGGCAUUCUCCUCCACAAGAUGCACAUGCUCACAACACGGGUUAGUAGCAUAUGCAUUAUCAAUUAAUACCAUAUGAGGGAAGGUGGUCUUUUCCUUGGUUAGCUUAACUUGGAGUUGAGCAUGAGACUCCUUGAGGUUAGCAUGAGCACCCUUCAAGACCUUGUGGGCCUUGUCAAGUAUCUCAAACUCCUCCUUGAGUCUAGCAUGAUCAACCCCAAGCUUAGCCUUCUCGGAAGUUAGCACACGAGACACGACAAGAGCAUGAUCAAGAUCUUUCUUUAACUUAGCAUGGUCAUCGUUGUGUGACUCCUCAAGAGUCAAUUGAUGUCCACGCUCUUCCUCAAGAGCAUUAGAGAGAUCCGAUAUCUCAUCGGCAUAGUCACAACUAUGACCUUCCAUCUUAGAGAUGGUUUCUUCGUGAGCCUCGAUCAUGACAUUGGCCUCACCAAGUUGUUCCAAGAGAGCAACAAAGUGCUUCUUGGAUUUGCCCUUGAGCUUACUCAUAAAAGACUCAAAUUCAUUCACUUCCUCAUUAGACUCAUCAUGUUCAUCAAUGCAAUCCUCUAAGGAGGGAUUAGUAAUGAUGGUGGUUUUGAUGUUGGGGGUUACCUUGUUGGUAGCUUUAGCCAUGAGGCACUUGGCGGUGAUGUUCUCGUUGGGUGAAUCAAAGAGAGACACCCGGGGAGUGGUAGCAAUGGCAACGGACGCCAUGGCCAUUGCUUCUCCAUUUUCAUCAUCAUCGUCGUCCUCAUGGUAUUCUUCUUGAACGACCAACCCACGAGUAGGAGUCUUCUUGGUGAAGUUGUUCUUGUUGGGGAAGGACUUGGCUUUGUCUUUUCGGAUGACCUUGCCACCAUUUUCUUCCCGCUUCUCGUAAGGACAAUACGCAACGAAAUGGCUCACAUUGCCACAGUUGAAGCAAGUUCUAACUUGUUGCUUGCCCUUGACGCCACUUGAGUUAUUCUUGUUGAAGUUAGGUCUUGUAUUCUUCUUGCUCCAAAAUUGUCUUGAAGCAAGAGCCAUGUGCUCAUGAUAAUCAUAUUUGGUGUCUUCGGGGUUGCUCUCCUCAUCUUCCUCUUCUUCCUCUUCUUCCACACUAACCUUGGCCUUCAAAGCAAGGUUGGGCUUCUUUGCCCUUUCAGAACGGAGCACCGCAUUGUCGGCGGUCUUGUCCAAGAUGCUCAUUGCAACGAACUCAUCCAACACUUCACUUGAGGUCAUGGAGUGGAAGUCCGGUCUUUGACGAAUGAUGGAGUACAUGGCCUUGUUGUAGGGCAUCAUGGCCUUGAGGAACUUGCGCUUGAUCCAGUUGUCAUCCGUGUCCUUGCUCCCAUGAUCUCGGAGUGAGACCGCGAGUUUGGUCACAGUUCGAAAGAGCUCACGAGGUUCUUCAUCUUCUUUCAUUGCAAACUCAUCGGCUUCAUCUUGUACCACUUCAUAGUUGGAGCGUUGAAUGCUAGAACUUCCUCGAUAGAGAGACACAACGCAUUGCCAUGCGUCUCUGGCCAUGGCAUGAGGUCGAAGAUGAGGGAGAUCUUCGGGAAGGAUUGCAUCUUGGAUGAUGAAGAGAGCACUCUCAUUGAAUUGAUUAUCCACCACUUCUCUCGGGGUGAAGUUGCUUCGGUCAUGUGGAUAGAAACAUUCUUCAAUGAUUCUCCAAAGGUUAGUAUUCACAUGAUUUAAAUGACGCUUGAAGCGAUACACCCAAGUAUCAAAAUCCUCAUUUUUCACAAUCUUAGGAGGAGGAUCGGCAUGAUUUAAAUGAGUAGAGGGAAUUGGUCCUCCAUAAAUUGGAGGUUCCACAUGGGCAAAGAUGUCGGUGCCAUUUCUACCACUAGUAGAAGGACUCUUUUCACUCUUAGCUUCCCCUUUGUCGGAGGUAGCAUCCAUCACCUUGUUAGUGGGAUCACCCACUUUCAUCGGCGAGGUGGACAGUUUGAGUCCUUCAAGAAAUUUAGUAAACAUGCUUUCAACCUUGGUCGUCAUGGAGUCUUUCAAUGUGUCUAGAGCCACAUUGAAUUCCUCACGAGAGAUCGAGGUUCCCCCAUCGGCCGUACACGAGAUAGGAUUCACACCGGAGUGCUCCCCCGCACCGUCUGUGGUGUCAACCAUACUCUUCAGACGGCAAAGUCCUUAAUAAAGAGACGAGGCUCUGAUACCAAUUGAAAGGAUCGAUAUGGUUGACUAGAGGGGGGGUGAAUAGGCAACUAACCAUUUUUAGCUUUUCUUUACCAAAUUAAACUUUGCAUCAAAGUAGGUUGUCUAGAUAUGCAACUAGGUGAAAAACCUAUAUGAUGCGACAAGAACAAGCGCACGAGCAAGUAAGGGAAACAACACAAGUAAGCUUGCAAAAGUAAAGGCGCGAGAUAACCAAGAGUGGAGCCGGUGGAGACGAGGAUGUGUUACUGAAGUUCCUUCCUUUUGAGGGGAAGUACGUCUCCGUUGGAGCGGUGUGGAGGCACAAUAAUCCCCAAGAAGCCACUAGGGCCACCGUAUUCUCCUCACGCCCCCACAAUGCGAUAUGCCGUGAUUCCACUAUUGGUGCCCUUGAAGGUGGCGACCGAACCUUUACAAACAAGGUUGGGGCAAUCUCCACAACAAUUGGAGGCUCCCAACAACACCAUGAAGCUUCACCACAAUGGAGUAUGGCUUCGAGGUGACCUCAACCGUCUAGGGUGCUCAAACACCCAAGAGUAACAAGAUCCGCUAGGGAUAAGUGGGGGGAAUCAAAUAUCUCUUGGUGGAAGUGUAGACCGGGUCCUUGUCACCCAAUCCCGAGCAAAUCAACAAGUUUGAUUGGCUAGGGAGAGAGAUCAGGCGAAAAUGGAGCUUGGAGCAACAAUGGAGCUUAGAGGUGGAAGAGGUAGUCAACUAGAGGUAGGAGACGCCCCUUUUAUAGUCAUGGAAGAAAUCCAACCAUUAUCCACUUAGACCAGCCCGCGACAUGCGGUACUACCACUCCAGGGGCGCGGUACUACCACAAGGCCACGCGGUACUACCGUGGGAGACCACGGUACUACCACGGCAGCUGCAGAGACUAUAUCAUAGGCAGUACUACCGCGAGCGCGGUACUACCGCACCGUCCCGCAGUACUACCGCGAGGCAGGUAAGACUAAGUCUGGAAUCGACACGGAUGAAUAAAAAUACAUCCGUGCCUAGUUCCGCUGUCAAAGAGACGAUGCAAACAUCCGUCACGGCACUACCGUCCACAGGGCACGGUACUACCGUGUGGGUGCGGAUGUAAAAAAUUACAUCUGCCCCUACUACCGUGAAGCCACGGCACUAUGCCAGGGAACCAUGGUACAACAGCUCGGAGGGAGCAGUACUACCGUGGCCACCAGCGGUACUACCGCCCUAGACGUGCAGUACUAGCGUGUGGGCGCGGAUGUAAAAAAUUACAUCCAUGCCUACUACCGCGAUGCAACGGUACUUGGCCUAGCAGCCACGGUACUACGACUCCGAGGGAGCGGUACUACCGUGGGCUUGCGCGGUACUACCGCGCAUGGGCAUGGUACUACCCGUGUGCCUGCGGUACUACCGCUCCAGGGAGCAGUACUACCGCAAGCUCAGCAACAGUAGUCCAGACAUUCACAUAGAGGAUAUGCUCCAAGGUGCAAGGGAAAGGAGGAGACAAUGAAGAAAACGUGUACGUGAUGAUUCCUCCUGAACCUUUCCGACGCGGACCCCCUCUUAAUAGUACGGCUCUCCUACGACUCAAAUCCACCAAAAAGAAACGUAGAACAACACCGUCUUCAAUAGUCUCGAGAGGCACCGAAUCGUCUCGUGCCUAGUGAUAAAGCGUCUGAGAAACUCAAGGCACACGAUUAGUCCACAAAUGCAUUGUCAUCAAUCACUAAAACACCUAAGGGAUAAAUAUGCCCUUACGGCAGUACUUGUGGUCGAACGAGACAUGAAGGGCUACAAGUUCUUGGUCCAAAAGCCUAUUUGCUAUGUCCCUGGGGUCUUAACCCCGUGCAAGACACACUACCCUCAUUAUCAAAAGAUAGCCUACGUCGUCUUUAUGGCAUCACAAAAACUCCGACACUACUUUCAAAAGUGCUCGGUGACCGUUGCAUUCGAUGUCCCACUAAGUGACAUAGUUAAUAACAGGGAUGUAACAGGGCGUAUAUCCAAAUGGGCCAUAGAGCUCCUACCUUUUGAAAUCACCUAUCGACCUCGCCGAGCUAUUAGAUCAUAGGUGUCGGCAGACUUCGUGGAAGAAUGGACGGAGGCCGAACUCCCCCGAGAGUGCAACGCUUAUUCGCGUUGGACCAUGUAUUUUGAUGGUUCCAAAAUGCUAUCUGGCCUAGGGGUUGGCAUAGUGCUUACAUCGCCAACGGAAGAUAGUAUUCGGUAUGUGCUACAAAUUAUGUACUCUGACUCCAACAACACGGCCGAAUACGAAGUUGUGCUACAUGGACUCCGGAUAGCAGUCUCCAUGGGCGUCGAAUGCCUGGAGACCCCGAGGUGAUUCUAACCUCUCCAUCUCAUAAGUCAAUGGUGAAUUUGACGCAAAAGAUCUGAAGAUGACAGCUUACCGGAACACCAUCAUAAAGAUCUCGACCAGGUUCGAGGGGCUUGAAUUCCAUCACAUACCCCAAGAUAGUAAUCAAGCCGCGGAUAUACUCGCCCCAAUGUGCGCUGAUCAAGAUAAAGUCCCGGAUAACACCUUCCCCGAACGGCUCUUUAAGCCAUCUGUAAUCUGGCAUGAUGACAAGGGAACGUUGGAGUCAAAUGACGUCGGGCAACCUGCCUCACCCGAAGACGGCGAGGGCCAGGACAUAGUGGGCGGUUCGGCGACCUAGGAAACAGCUUCCGCAUACGAAGUCAUGGCAGUAAUCGCACCGCCUCUCCUCACAUACCUGCUCCAUAAAGAGCUCCCCAAGGAUCAAACUGACGGGCGCCAGGUCGUAAGGCAAUCUAAAGCAUAUAAGGUUCAUGAGGGGGAGCUCUAAAGUUAGCACUACGGGUGUCCUCUAACGAUGUAUAUCCGAAGAAGGAACAUUAUUACUCCAGGAGAUACACUCCGGCAUGAGCGGACAUCACGCGCUGCUCGGACCUGUUGGUCAGCAAGGCUUUCCGAGCUGGUUGUUAUUGCCCGACUGCAAGCGCCAAUGCCUCCGCAUUAGUGCAGCAUUAGCCAGGCUGUCAAGUGUUCGCCAAACAAAUCCACUUGCCCCCGCGGUUCUCCACACUAUCCCUAUCACUUGGCCUUUCGCAGUCUCGGGACUAGAUAUGGUCGGCCCACUCAAUGGUGGAUCAAGAAAUAAUAAAUAUCUACUUGUCAUGGGCAAAUUUGUUGGGGAACAUAGUAAUUUCAAAAAUUUCCUACGCACACGCAAGAUCAUGGUGAUGGCAUAGCAACGAGAGGGGAGAGUGUUUGUCCACGUACCCUCGUAGACCAUAAGCGGAAGCGUUAGCACAACGCGGUUGAUGUAGUCGUACAUCUUCACGAUCCGACCGAUCCAAGCACCGAACGUACGGCACCUCCGAGUUCAGCACACGUUCAGCUCGAUGACGAUCUCCGGGCUCCGAUCCAGAAAAGCUCCGGAGAUGAGUUCCGUCAGCACGACGGCAUGGUGACGAUGAUGAUGUUCUACCGGCGCAGGGCUUCGCCUAAACUCCGCGAUGAUAUGACCAAGGUGGAAUAUGGUGGAAGGGGGCACCGCACACGGCUAAGGAACGAUCCGUAGAUCAACUUGUGUGUCUAUGGGGUGCCCCCUGCCCCCGUAUAUAAAGGAGCAAGGGGGGAGGCCCGCCCCAAGGAGGGGGGGAGUCCUCCUCCUAGUGGGAGUAGGACUCCCCUUUCCUAGUCCAACUAGGAAGUAGGAAGGGGGAAGGAAAGAGGGGGAGAGGGAGAGGGAAAGAGGGGCCGCGCCCCCCUCCCCUAGUCCAAUUCGGACUCCCCUUGGGAGGGGGCGCCCCACCUCCUGGGUUGCUGCCCUCUCUCUCCCCUCAGGCCCACUAAGGCCCAAUACUUCCCUGGGGGGUUCCGGUAACCCCUCCGGCACUCCGGUUUUCUCUGAAAUCACCCGGAACACUUCCGGUGUCCGAAUAUAGUCGUCCAAUAUAUCAAUCUUUAUGUCUUGACCAUUUCGAGACUCCUCGUCAUGUCUGUGAUCACAUCCAGGACUCCGAACAAACUUCGGUACAUCAAAACUUAUAAACUCAUAAUAAAACUAUCAUCGUAACGUUAAGCGUGCGGACCCUACGGGUUCGAGAACUAUGUAGACAUGACCUAGAACCAUUCUCGGUCAAUAACCAAUAGCGGGACCUGGAUGCCCAUAUUGGUUCCUACAUAUUCUACGGAGAUCUUUAUCGGUCAAACCGCAUAACAACAUACGUUGUUCCCUUUGUCAUCGGUAUGUUACUUGCCCGAGAUUCGAUCGUCGGUAUCCAAUACCUAGUUCAAUCUCGUUACCGGCAAGUCUCUUUACUCGUUACGUAAUGCAUCAUCCCGUAACCAACUCAUUGGUUACAUUGCUUGCAAGGCUUAUAGUGAUGUGCAUUACCGAGAGGGCCCAGAGAUACCUCUCCGACAAUUGGAGUGACAAAACCUAAUCUCGAAAUACGCUAACUCAACAUGUACCUUCGGAGACACCUGUAGUACUCCUUUAUAAUCACCCAGUUACGUUGUGACGUUUGGUAGUACCCAAAGUGUUCCUCCGGUAAAUGGGAGUUGCAUAAUUCUCAUAGUUACAGGAACAUGUAUAAGUCAUGAAGAAAGCAAUAGCAGUAUACUAAACGAUCAAGUGCUAGGCUAACGGAAUGGGUCAUGUCAAUCACAUCAUUCUUCUAAUGAUGUGAUCCCACUAAUCAAAUGGCAACACAUGUCUAUGGUUAGGAAACAUAACCAUCUUUGAUUAAUGAGCUAGUCAAGUAGAGGCAUACUAGUGACUAUAGUUUUGUCUAUGUAUUCACACAUGUAUCAUGUUUCCGGUUAAUACAAUUCUAGCAUGAAUAAUAAACAUUUAUCAUGAUAUGAGGAAAUAAAUAAUAACUUUAUUAUUGCCUCUAGGGCAUAUUUCCUUUAGUCUCCCACUUGCACUAGAGUCAAUACUCUAGAUUACAUAGUAAUGAUUCUAACACCCAUGGAGUCUUGGUGCUGAUCAUGUUUUGCUCGUGAGAGAGGCUUAGUCAACGGGUCUGCAACAUUCAGAUCCGUAUGUAUCUUGCAAAUCUCUAUGUCUCCCACUUGGACUUGGUCCCGAAUGGAAUUGAAGUGUCUCUUGAUGUGCUUGGUCCUCUUGUGAAAUCUGGAUUCCUUUGCCAAGCCAAUUGCACCAGUAUUGUCACAGAAGAUCUUCAUUGGUCCCGAUGCACUAGGUAUGACACCUAGAUUGGAAAUGAACUCCUUCAUCUAGACUCCUUCAUUUGCUGCUUCAGAAGCAGCUAUGUACUCCGCUUCACAUGUAGAUCCCACCACGACGCUUUGUUUAGAACUGCACCAACUUACAGCUCCACCGUUUAAUAUAAACACGUAUCCGGUUUGCGAUUUAGAAUCAUCCGGAUCAGUGUCAAAGCUUGCAUCGACGUAACCAUUUACGACUAGCUCUUUGUCACCUCCAUAUACGAGAAACAUAUCCUUAGUCCUUUUCAGGUAUUUCAGGAUGUUCUUGACCGCUGUCCAGUGAUCCACUCCUGGAUUACUUUGGUACCUUUCCUGCCAAGCUUAUUGCUAAGCAUAUGUCAGGCCUGGUACACAGCAUUGCAUACAUGAUAGAGCCUAUGGCUGAAGCAUAGGGAACAUCUUUCAUUUUCUCUCUAUCUUCUGCUGUGGUCGGGCAUUGAGUUUGACUCAACUUCACACCUUGUAGCACAGGCAAGAAACCUUUCUUUGCCUGAUCCAUUUUGAACUUUUUCAAAAUUUUGUCAAGGUAUGUGCUUUGUGAAAGUCCUAUUAAGCGUCUUGAUCUAUCUCUAUAGAUCUUGAUGCCCAAUAUGUAAGCAGCUUCACCGAGGUCUUUCAUUGAAAAACUUUUAUUCAAGUAUCCCUUUAUGCUAUCCAGAAAUUUUAUAUCAUUUCCAAUUAAUAAUAUGUCAUCUACAUAUAAAAUCGGAAAUGCUACAGAGCUCCCACUCACUUUCUUGUAAAUACAGGCUUCUCCAAAAGUUUGCGUAAAACCAUAUGCUUUGAUCACAUUAUCAAAACGUUUAUUCCAACUCCGAGAUGCUUGCACCAGUCCAUAAAUGGAUCGCUGGAGCUUGCACACUUUGUUAGCACCUUUUGGAUCAAUAAAACCUUCUGGCUGCAUCAUAUACAACUCUUCUUCUAGAAAUCCAUUCAAGAAUGCAGUUUUGACAUCCAUUUGCCAAAUUUCAUAAUCAUGAAAUGCAGCAAUAGCUAACAUGAUUCGGAUAGACUUAAUCAUCGCUACGGGUGAGAAAGUCUCAUCAUAGUCAACCCCUUGAACUUGUCGAAAACCUUUCGCAACAAGUCGAGCUUUAUAGACUGUUACAUUACCAUCAGCGUCAGUCUUCUUCUUAAAGAUCCAUUUAUUCUCAAUGGCUUGCCGAUCAUCGGGCAAGUCAAUCAAAGUCCAUACUUUGUUUUCAUACAUGGAUCCCAUCUCAGAUUUCAUGGCCUCUAGCCAUUUUGCGGAAUCUGGGCUCAUCAUCGCUUCCUCAUAGUUCGUAGGUUCAUCAUGGUCAAGUAACAUGACUUCCAGAAUAGGAUUACCGUACCACUCUGGUGCGGAUCUUACUCUGGUAGACCUACGAGGUUCAGUAGAAACUUGAUCUGAAGUUUCAUGAUCAAUAUCAUUAGCUUCCUCACUGAUUGGUGUAGUUGUCACAGGAUUUGGUUCUUGUGAUGAACUACUUUCCAAUAAGGGAGUAGAUACAAUUAUCUCAUCAAGUUCUGCUUUCCUCCCACUCACUUCUUUAGAGAGAAACUCCUUCUCUAGAAAGGAUCCGAUUUUAGCAACGAAAAUCUUGCCCUCAGAUCUGUGAUAGAAGGUGUACCCAAUAGUCUCCUUUGGGUAUCCUAUGAAGACACAUUUCUCCGAUUUGGGUUCGAGCUUAUCUGGUUGAAGUUUCUUCACAUAAGCAUCGCAGCCCCAAAUUUAAGAAACGACAACUUUGGUUUCUUGCCAAACCACAGUUCAUAAGGUGUUGUCUCAACAGAUUUUGAUGGUGCCCUAUUUAACGUGAAUGCGGCCGUCUCUAAAGCAUAACCCCAAAACGAUAGCGGUAAAUCGGUAAGAGACAUCAUAGAUCGCACCAUAUCAAGUAAAGUACGAUUACGACAUUCGGACACACCAUUUCGUUGUGGUGUUCCGGGUGGCGUGAGUUGCGAAACUAUUCCGCAUUGUUUCAAGUGUAGACCAAACUCGUAACUCAAAUAUUCUCCUCCACGAUCAGAUCGUAGAAACUUUAUUUUCUUGUUGCGAUGAUUUUCCACUUCACUCUGAAAUUCUUUGAACUUUUCAAAUGUUUCAGACUUGUGUUUCAUUAAGUAGAUAUACCCAUAUCUGCUCAAAUCAUCUGUGAAGGUGAGAAAAUAACGAUACCCGCCGCGAGCCUCAACAUUCAUUGGACCACAUACAUCAGUAUGUAUGAUUUCCAAUAAAUCAGUUGCUCGCUCCAUAGUUCCGGAGAACGGCGUUUUAGUCAUCUUGCCCAUAAGGCACGGUUCGCAAGUACCAAGUGAUUCAUAAUCAAGUGAUUCCAAAAGCCCAUCGGUAUGGAGUUUCUUCAUGCGCUUUACACCGAUAUGACCUAAACGGCAGUGCCACAAAUAAGUUGCACUAUCGUUAUCAACUCUGCAUCUUUUGGUUUCAACACUAUGAAUAUGUGUAUCACUACUAUCGAGAUUCAAUAAAAAUAGACCAUUCUUCAAGGGUGCAUGACCAUAAAAGAUAUUACUCAUAUAAAUAGAACAACCAUUAUUCUCUGAUUUAAAUGAAUAACCGUCUCACAUCAAACAAGAUCCAGAUAUAAUGUUCAUGCUCAACGCUGGCACCAAAUAACAAUUAUUUAGGUCUAAAACUAAUCCCGAUGGUAGAUGUAGAGGUAGUGUGCCGACCGCGAUCACAUCGACUUUGGAACCAUUUCCCACGCGCAUCGUCACCUCGUCCUUAGCUAAUCUUUGCUUAAUCCGUAGUCCCUGUUUCGAGUUGCAAAUAUUAGCAACAGAACCAGUAUCAAAUACCCAGGUGCUACUGCGAGCAUUAGUAAGGUACACAUCAAUAAAAUGUAUAUCACAUAUACCUUUGUUCACUUUGCCAUCCUUCUUAUCCGCCAAAUACUUGGGGCAGUUCCGCUUCCAGUGUCUAGUCUGCUUGCAGUAGAAGCACUCAGUUUCAGGCUUAGGUCCAGACUUGGGUUUCUUCUCUUGAGCAGCAACUUGCUUUCCGUUCUUUUUGAAGUUCCCCUUCUUCUUCCCUUUGCCCUUCUUCUUGAAACUGGUGGUUUUGUUAACCAUCAACACUUGAUGCUCCUUCUUGAUUUCUACCUCCGCAGCUUUCAGCAUUGCGAAGAGCUCGGGAAUCACUUUCAUCAUCCCUUGCAUAUUAUAGUUCAUCACAAAGUUCUACUAACUUGGUGAUGGUGACUAGAGAAUUCUGUUAAUCACUAUUUUAUCUGGAAGAUUAACUCCCACUUGAUUCAAGCGAUUGUAGUACCCAGAGAAUCUGAGCACAUGCUCACUAGUUGAGCGAUUCUCCUCCAUCUUUUAGCUAUAGAACUUGUUGGAGACUUCGUAUCUCUCAACUCGGGUAUUUGCUUGAAAUAUUAACUUCAAUUCCUGGAUCAUCUCAUAUGGUCCAUGACGUUCAAAAUGUCUUUGAAGCCCCGAUUCUAAGCCGUUAAGCAUGGUGCACUAAACUAUCAAGUAGUCAUCAUGUUGAGCUAGCCAAACGUUCAUAACGUCUGCAUCUGCUCCUGCAAUAGGUCUGUCACCUAGUGGUGCAUUAAGGACAUAAUUCUUCUAUGCAGCAGUGAGGAUAAACCUCAGAUCACGGAUCCAAUCCGCAUCAUUGCUACUAACAUCUUUCAACACAGUUUUCUCUAGGAACAUUUCAAAAUAAACAUAUGAAAGCAACAACGCGAGCUAUUGAUCUACAACAUAAUUUGCAAAAUACUACCAGGACUAAGUUCAUGAUAAAUUUAAGCUCAAUUAAUCAUAUUACUUAAGAACUCCCACUUAGACAGACAUCUCUCUAGUCAUCUAAGUGAUCACGUGAUCCAAAUCAACUAAACCAUGUCCGAUCAUCACGUGAGAUGGAGUAGUUUCAAUGGUGAACAUCACUAUGUUGAUCAUAUCUACUAUAUGAUUCACGUUCGACCUUUUGGUCUCCGUGUUCCGAGGCCAUAUCUGUAUAUGCUAGGCUCGUCAAGUUUAACCUGAGUACUCCGCGUGUGCAACUGUUUUGCACCCAUUGUAUUUGAACGUAGAGCCUAUCACACCCGAUCAUCACAUGGUGUCUCAGCACGAAGAACUUUCGCAAUGGUGCAUACUCAGGGAGAACACUUCUUGAUAAUUUAGUGAGAGAUCAUCUUAAAAUGCUACCAUCAAUCAAAGCAAGAUAAGAUGCAUAAAGGAUAAACAUCACAUGCAAUCAAUAUAAGUGAUAUGAUAUGGCCAUCAUCAUCUUGUGCUUGUGAUCUCCAUCUUUGAAGCACCGUCAUGAUCACCAUCGUCACCGGCGCGACACCUUGAUCUCCAUUGUAGCAUCGUUGUCAUUACGCCAUCUAUUGCUUCUACGACUAUCGCUACCGCUUAGUGAUAAAGUAAAGCAAUUACAGGGCGUUUGCAUUUCAUACAAUAAAGAGACAACCAUAUGGCUCCUGCCAGUUGCCGAUAACUUCGGUUACAAAACAUGAUCAUCUCAUACAAUAAAAUAUAGCAUCACGUCUUGACCAUAUCACAUCACAACAUGCCCUACAAAAACAAGUUAGACGUCCUCUACUUUGUUGUUGCAAAAUUUACGUGGCUGCUACGGGCUGAGCAAGAACCGUUCUUACCUACGCAUCAAAAACCACAACAAUAGUUCGUCAAGUUGGUGUUGUUUUAACCUUCGCAAGGACCGGGCGUAGCCACACUCGGUUCAGCUAAAGUGAGAGAGACAGACACCCGCCAGCCACCUUUAAGCACGAGUGCUCAUAACGGUGAAACCAGUCUCGCGUAAGCGUACGCGUAAUGUCGGUCCGGGCCGCUUCAUCUCACAAUACCGCCGAACCAAAGUAUGACAUGCUGGUAAGCAGUAUGACUUGUAUCGCCCACAACUCACUUGUGUUCUACUCGUGCAUAUAACAUCAAUGCAUAAAACCUGGCUCGGAUACCACUGUUGGGGAAUGUAGUAAUUUCAAAAAUUUCCUACGCACACGCAAGAUCAUGGUGAUGGCAUAGCAACGAGAGGGGAGAGUGUUUGUCCACGUACCCUCGUAGACCGUAAGCGGAAGCAUUAGCACAACGCGGUUGAUGUAGUCGAACGUCUUCACGAUUCGACCGAUCCAAGCAACGAACGUACGGCACCUCCGAGUUCAGCACACGUUCAGCUCAAUGACGAUCUCCAGGCUCCGAUCCAGCAAAGCUCCGGAGAUGAGUUCCGUCAGCACGACGGCGUGGUGACGAUGAUGAUGUUCUACCGGCGCAGGGCUUCGCCUAAACUCCGCGAUGAUAUGACCGAGGUGGAAUAUGGUGGAAGGGGGCACCGCACACGGCUAAGGAACGAUCCGUAGAUCAACUUGUGUGUCUAUGGGGUGCCCCCCUGCCCCCGUAUAUAAAGGAGCAAGGGGGGAGGCCGGCCGGCCCUUGGGGCGCGCCAAUGAGGGGGGAGUCCUCCUCCUAGUGGGAGUAGGACUCCCCUUUCCUAGUCCAACUAGGAAGGAGGAAGGGGGAAGGAAAGAGGGGGAGAGGGAGAGGGAAAGAGGGGCCACGCCCCCCUCCCCUAGUCCAAUUCGGACUCCCCUUGGGAGGGGGCGCGCCACCUCCUGGGCUGCUGCCCUCUCUCUCCCCUCAGGCCCACUAAGGCCCAAUACUUCCCCGGGGGGUUCCGGUAACCCCUCCGGCACUCCGGUUUUCUCCGAAAUCACCCGGAACACUUCCAGUGUCCGAAUAUAGUCGUCCAAUAUAUCAAUCUUUAUGUCUCGACCAUUUCGAGACUCCUCGUCAUGUCCGUGAUCACAUCCAGGACUCCGAACAAACUUCGGUACAUCAAAACUUAUAAACUCAUAAUAAAACUGUCAUCGUAACGUUAAGCGUGCGGACCCUACGGGUUCGAGAACUAUGUAGACAUGACCUAGAACCAUUCUUGGUCAAUAACCAAUAGCGGGACCUGGAUGCGCAUAUUGGUUCCUACAUAUUCUACGAAGAUCUUUAUCGGUCAAACCGCAUAACAACAUACGUUGUUCCCUUUGUCAUCGGUAUGUUACUUGCCCGAGAUUCGAUCGUCGGUAUCCAAUACCUAGUUCAAUCUCGUUACCGGCAAGUCUCUUUACUCGUUACGUAAUGCAUCAUCCUGUAACCAACUCAUUGGUUACAUUGCUUGCAAGGCUUAUAGUGAUGUGCAUUACCGAGAGGACCCAGAGAUACCUCUCUGACAAUCGGAGUGACAAAACCUAAUCUCGAAACACACCAACUCAACAUGUACCUUCGGAGACACCUGUAGUACUCCUUUAUAACCACCCAGUUACGUUGUGACGUUUGGUAGUAUCCAAAGUGUUCCUCCGGUAAACGGGAGUUGCAUAAUUCUCAUAGUUACAGGAACAUGUAUAAGUCAUGAAGAAAGCAAUAGCAGUAUACUAAACGAUCAAGUGCUGGGCUAACGGAAUGGGUCAUGUCAAUCACAUCAUUCUUCUAAUGAUGUGAUCCCACUAAUCAAAUGACAACACAUGUCUAUGGUUAGGAAACAUAACCAUCUUUGAUUAAUGAGCUAGUCAAGUAGAGGCAUACUAGUGACUAUAGUUUUGUCUAUGUAUUCACACAUGUAUCAUGUUUCGGGUUAAUACAAUUCUAGCAUGAAUAAUAAACAUUUAUCAUGAUAUGAGGAAAUAAAUAAUAACUUUAUUAUUGCCUCUAGGGCAUAUUUCCUUCAAAAUUCACUAAAGUGGAUUGAAGCAAAGCUAGUCACCUCGGCUGGAGCCAUCCCAGUAAUUGACCUCAUCUCAGGGGUCGUGCACCGUUACGAUAUCCUGCACAUUCUGAUCACAGACAAUGGGACAAACUUCACAGCCAAAGAGGUAAGGCAUGGUGCGCAAAAAUGGGCAUCAAGCUCUACGCGUUCGUAUAUCACCCGCAGUCAAACGGGCAAGUGGAACGCGCCAAUGGACUAAUCCUCAAUGGCAUUAAGCCUAGGCUAGUACACUCCCUUAAAGAAGCUGACUGCAAAUGGGUAGAGGAACUUGAUUCCGUCCGAUGGGGUUUGCGCACCACGCCGAACAGAUCUGCAGGGUAUACCCCAUUUUUCAUGGUUUAUGGGGCUGAGGCAGUACUCCUUGUGACAUCAUAGACGACGCACCUCGAGUACGCAUGUACCAAGAACGGGAGGCCAAGCAAGAUCGGCAGGACGCCUUGGACACUCUAGAAGAGGAGCACAAUGUCGCUCGGGCACGAUCUACCAAUUACCAGCAGCAGUCCCGACGCUAUCACAGUCGGGAGGUCCGUGCAAAGGACUUCAACGUAGGAGACCUAGUCAUGAGGCUUCAUUCAGAGAAGCAGAAGCACAAACUCUCCCCCAAAUGGAUGGGCCAUUCAUCAUCGAUCAGGUCCUCAUCGGAGGCGCCUACCGAAUUCGAGAUCUAGCGAGCAGGCGGGCGCAAGCUUACCACCCUAUUCAGGCUUGCAAUGGAUAACCUAAGGGAUGCGGAGCUUGUAGAGGAGUGUACCAGGGAUUGUGAUACUCCAGAAUAUCUUACUUGUCCAUUGUCGGGCGAGCUUAUAAUUGACCCGGUGACAAUUGCCACGGGGAAGGUAAUUCUCUUAGUGUGUGCUCGAAGUUUUAGCUGCAUAUAAUUGUUUUUUAGUAGUGAACUAAUGGUGGGUAUGUUUUAAUUUGUUUUAGACAUUUGACCGACAGUACCUCAAGGAUUGGUUUGAGAAGAACGGGCAUAUCUGUCCUGUGACCGGCGAGCCUGUUUCAGGUGCCAUUGUCCGGAACGAGCGUAUCCGAGGGUACUUGCACGAGUGGGAAGAAUCCAACAUGGAGCAGAUCAUUACAGUCUCUUGUGACCUAAUUUCACAAUCUUUAGUGCGUAAGAUAAGAUGAUAGCUAAUCCUACAUGACAUGCCAAUUUGUUGACUGUACGAGGAAGUGAUCAGCCAAGCGAUUGGCGCCUCGGCGUGAGCGGUGCAAACGAGUAGUUGAACGCGCCGGAGACGACGGCCUCUGCUCGGUCGUCGAGCUCCUUCUCCAGGCGGCGCCACAGCCGCGCCACGGUGGCCUUGCGCGCCUCGUUGUCCUUCAGCUCGGGGUCGUAGUGCGCCCACAUGAUCCCGUCGAACUCCUCGAAGCGACGGUCCACGUCGCUGGCCUUGGCGUACAUGUCCCUAAACUCCCUGAGGAAGACGGACUGGUGCUCCUCCUCGUCCUCGGACCCGUCCACCUCGGCCUCUGCGGUGCCGUCGUCCUCCUCCUCGUCCUCGGACCCGUUCACGUCGGCCUCUGCGGUGCCGUCGUCGUCCUCCUCCUCGUCCUCGGACCCGUCCACGUCGGCCUCUGCGGUGCCGUAGUCGUCGUCCUCCUCGUCCUCGGACCCGUCCACCUCGGCCUCUGCGGUGCCGUCCUCGUCGUCCUCGGGCUCCGAUUCCCUGGCCCUCAGACUGGCCAGCACACUGCGCCGCAGCCUGUCGCUCUCGCCGUUGUUGUCGCGGAGGAGGGACCUGUGGAUGUCGAUGUCCUUCUUCAUGUCCAGCUUGAGCUUCUGGAUCUGGUGCGCCACGAUGAGCCGCAUCGAGAGGUCGUACUGCAAGCUGCGGAUCAAGAGCUCGUCGUCCUCCUCCUCCUCCAGGUCCAGGGAGGCGUUGGCCGGCGACGACUGCAGCUCUUGGGUGCCGUCGCUCUUCAUGUCUUCGGCUGACGAUGUGGUGAUUGCUAGAGCUGUCGCCUUGACGACUUCCCCAGUUUCCACGGCUGCCAUUGAUCGCUCAGGAGAUCAACACGAUCAAAACGGACAGGGAUCAACUCCACCCUAACUAGGUAACUAGGUAGUCAAGCAUUGGCAUACAUAUAUACUCCGUAGUUUCAACAAGGCAAGGGCCAGGCCGACUCGGCCGGCUGAUCCUACGUGGUUGAGUCGGUGUCGGUCACGUACGGCACUGCGACUCAUGAACGGGACAUCGUUCUUGUCUUUUUUUUCUUCUUCUUUUUUUCUGACAGCACUUUGGUUCCUCCUCCUCACGGAUUCACAGUUGCUUGACUUUUGGAUCUUUAAAUAUUUUCUUUUGCCCUAGAACUUGUAAUAAGGACAUCUCCAACUGCGUGCUUUAAGUUCUCAAAAAAAAACUGCAUACUUUAAAUCGGACACACUACACGUCCGUGGACGCGUUUGAACACAGAUAAGGAAGUCGGCCAUCCAACUCUGUGCAUCAAAUGUACACCCGGCCCCUUAAUAAUUUUUUUCCCUAUGUCCAGAGCACUCAAAAGAAUUAUAGAAAAAAAUCAUAAUUCAGCCAUAAAUAGCAUGCAAGCAUUCUAGUGCAACAAUAGUUCAAAUAUAAAUAUUACAUUCGAAAUUACCGAAUGUUCGACAAAUUGUAUGGCACGAAGUGUUGUUCAUCCACACAUUGUCCCUUGAGUUUCAUCCAACAAUAGAUCAACAUGAAUGGUCUGCCCUACGUUGUUUGAUACGGUGCGGCAGCGCAUCCGGGCUAUACAAUAAGGUGAUCGUCAACAUGAAUGUCCUGCCCUUGAUUGAGUGAAUCAAUAAACUGACCAACAUGUAGAGCAACAAGAAAAAAACUUAUGAUUUCCACGGUUGACGCGUCGGUGGCCACCCUCUUUCCACCCAUGUGAUCGCACUGCAGUACUUCAUGACUUUGAGAUGGUGUACUACAGAUGGGCUAGCGACUUCACGUUGUAUUCAUCGAUCAUGUGCAAGUUGUACGUAGGGUGCAAAGUGCUUUUGGUCGUGAACCAGGAAUGCACAUUUUGCAAAAACAUCGUGCCCCCUUGCUUCAUGCCUAUAAAGUACGCACUUCUGACCAACAAGGCAACGUACAACAGCUCAUUCUCCAUCAUCGAGUACGCCGUCAUCGUGCUUGCUUCAAAGUAAAAAAAAAUGGUAAAUUCUCAUUGGCAUUUGGCCAAAUAAUUGUCGGGUGUGGUGUCUGCCAUCGACGGCAUCGGAAGGGGGGAGAAUACCUGGCUGCGGACGGAUCUAGGNNNNNNNNNNNNNNNNNNNNNNNNNNNNNNNNNNNNNNNNNNNNNNNNNNNNNNNNNNNNNNNNNNNNNNNNNNNNNNNNNNNNNNNNNNNNNNNNNNNNNNNNNNNNNNNNNNNNNNNNNNNNNNNNNNNNNNNNNNNNNNNNNNNNNNNNNNNNNNNNNNNNNNNNNNNNNNNNNNNNNNNNNNNNNNNNNNNNNNNNNNNNNNNNNNNNNNNNNNNNNNNNNNNNNNNNNNNNNNNNNNNNNNNNNNNNNNNNNNNNNNNNNNNNNNNNNNNNNNNNNNNNNNNNNNNNNNNNNNNNNNNNNNNNNNNNNNNNNNNNNNNNNNNNNNNNNNNNNNNNNNNNNNNNNNNNNNNNNNNNNNNNNNNNNNNNNNNNNNNNNNNNNNNNNNUAUUAUGUCUACUUUGGUUCUGCCAUACGUAAUACAGACACUGGCCAAUUUUUGUCUGCCUAGUGCACAUGUCUGUGUGUCGUUGGCGGGCUACGCAUGAUGCAGAAAUCACAUAGCAGUUAUAGGCAAUUCGCAGCAUGGAGUCGUUUCGCCCAGAGGUCUAUGAAAGACAACUAUACCAAAAAAAAAAUACAUCUUUGAUCUCUCUCUCGUUGUCACACAUUUCCCGGCGAUAACCGAACAAUGAUUUUUAUAGAUGUAUCUUUGUCAUCUAAGUUGCCACGUACAGUCAGAAUUGUAGUCAUGCUAGCUUGUGCAUUCCUAUAUAUGAACGUUUCUUUUUUGAGGGGCACUCCUACGAACAUAAUACUGUAUACUCCUUAUGUAAACUAAUAUAAGAGCGUUUAGAUCACUACUUUAGUAUUUUAAAUGCUAUUAUAUUAGUUUAGGAGGGAGUACUUGACAAAAAAAGUUGUUCGUUUCAAAAAAUAUAAAAACUAUCAGAUAUGCCAAGGACAGACAGUCACACAUACAUGUGAAUUUUGGUGUAAAACUGUAAUAAUCCACGAGCCAAUAUUAAUCACAGACUAAGUUCUUGUACAAUCACCUCCAACUUAAGUCACUCGGCUUAAAACCGUGUAUGAGUUAUUGUACGCACAUAUGCUCAUAGAAAAAUGUAUGCUUAUGCCUUAUGUUUCUACUUGUGUUGUAUAUGCACCAGUGUUAUUACGUUCUUUUUUUUUGCGGAAUUAUUACGUUCUUUUUUAGCCUAGAGGUAUGAUUUUUCGUAAAGUUCCGUUAUUCGGUUCAUAUAGGGCGAUCUCUAUUUGGCGCAUAGGUCACCAUCGAGCGACCUAGCACGCAACCCCUCCAACGCAGGAUCCAGUUUUUCGGGUAGCCAAUUUAGGGUUUAUUCCCCACCGGUUUUUUCAAAAAAACAUCAUUUUUCUUUCUUUCUUUACCUUUCCUUUUUUUUCAUUUUUUAUUUUUUGGGUUUUCCUUUUUGUUUUAUUUCCCUUUUCAUUUCUCUUUUUUCUUAUUUUUUUUCAAGAGCAUCUAUCAAAUUUGUGAAAAAAAAGUUGAAGUUCUUACCAUUUUCUGAAAUCCUAAAAUGUUUUCUUGAACAUUUUUUCAAAUCAUGAAUUUCUGAAAAAGAAAUCGUGAACAUUUUCUAAAAUCAUUAACAUUUUUCACAAAUUUAGGAACAUUUUUCUAAAUUGUGAACGUCAUUUUGAAACUCGUGAACGUUGUUUGAAUCAGCAAACAGUUUUUGAAUUUUGGGAACAAUUUCAUGAACAUUUUUUGUUAUGUGAACAGUUUUUUUAAAAUGCAUGAAUAUUUUUUGAACUGAAAAUCUCAAAUUAUUUAAAUUCACCCAAAAAAUCCCCAAUUUUUAAAAUAAAUUCACGAGCAUUAUAUGAAUUCAGGAAAAAAAUCUAAUUCAUGAAUAUAUAAACAUUUUUAAAAAGUGUGAACAUUUUUUGUAUAUGUGAUUUUUGAAAUCAUCACCAUUUUUUUCAAUGCGCGAACAUUUCAUGAUUUCUCGAAUAAUUAUUCAAAAUCAUGAACAUUUUUUUCUGAGUUCAUGAUCAUUUUAUGAUUUCUUGAGCAUUAUUUUCAAUUUGCAAUUAUUUAGAAAGUUGGAACUUUUCUGAAAACCUGAAUUAAAAGGAAAUAAAAACAGAAAAUAAAAAAUCAUAGGGGACCUCCCGUCCCGCAGAUUAGCCGGCCCAACAGGAGCGUGGGGCGCAGUGGAACUCAGUUGUCAUCGUGAACGAACUCAAACCAACUUCGACAGCUCGUGUUGCAGGGCACAAACGACAUGUUUGCCUAUACAGGGAUGUUACAAUUCCUCAUUCACUAGGCGUCAAACACAAGACCAGACUUGUCAUUUGGAUGCCCUAGUGCUAACCGGGUAGACCUAACUAGAGUCAAAUAAGUACCUACACUAGUAUAUAUUGCAUAUCACAAAAGUCAUUAAUUAUGAAGGCAUAAACAUCCAAAAUGUAAUUUUAAUUAUAAAAAUUUGUCAUAAUACAUCAUGUAUAUGUUAUUAUAAUAUACAAUUGUUGGUUAUAACAUGCAUGCUCUCCAACAUAAACAAACAAUUAAUAAAUAUAGUGUUGUGACAUGUGGGGGGAGGGGGAAGUUGCCCCUCCCCCCUCCCUUUCCAAUGUGCGAACAUUUUAUGAUUUCUCGAAUAAUUAUCCAAAAUCAUGAACAUUUUUUUCUGAAUUCAUGAUCAUUUUAUGAUUUCUUGAGCAUUCUCCAUUGACUAGGCGUCGAAGACAAGACCAGACUUGUCAUUUGGAUGCCCUAGUGCUAACUGGGUGGACCUAACUAGAGUCAAAUAAGUACCUACACUGGUAUAUAUUGCAUAUCACAAAAGUCAUUAAUUAUAAAGGCAUAAACAUCCAAAAUGUAAUUUUAAUUAUAAAAUUAUGUCAUAAUACAUCAUGUAUACGUGAUUAUAUGAUACAAUCAUACAAUUGAUGAUUAUAACAUGCAUGCUCUCCAACAUAAACAAAUAAUUAAUAAAUGUAGUGUUGUGACACGUGGGGGGAGGGGGCCAGUGCCCCCCCCCCCCUCCCCCGCCCCUUCUUACAAGCUUUACUAAUGUGUGCAGGUGACCCAACAAAGCCACCAUCCUGGUUGACACUUGGCAUCAACUGUCAUGGAGGUGGAAGAUGUGGAAAUUUUGGUGAGGCUCUUGCCCUUCUGGUUCAACAGUUGUCCUUUUGGACAUAUGGCCAAAAAACUACUUCCGUCAUCCUGUUGUUUGGCUACUCAAACUUGGAUGCCGCCGCACUCAUGGUGAUGAAGUGUCGCAUGAACGAGGAUGCCGACUUCAAGUCAAUUAUGUUUUUUCUAGUUCCAUAGCUUGUGUUGCAGGGCAUGGGCGAUGCGUUUGCCGAUAUUGGCCAGGACUUCUUCAUUCACAAGGUGUCGAGCCCAUGGCCGACCCUGGCAUUUUGUAGGUGUAGGCCCUAGUGCGAACUAGGUACAUGGAGCUAACUAGAGUCAAAGUCUUAAAGAAGUACUUACACCGGCAUAUAUUGCAUAUCAAAGUAACUACAAAGACAAACACCGAAAAUGUAACUUAGAUUAGAGAUGAUGUUAUAAUACACCAUGGAGAAAAACGUAAAUCUAUAUUAUGAUUGUGAAAUCCAUGAUAGUCACUAUUUGCUUGUUGUUGUCGGGAUUCGGGGAUGAACAUGCAGUAGAAAAAUAUUGGUAGCACGCAACACAAUAUUUUAAGUUCACAUCAUUCUCACUGGCACUUCAAAAAAACAUCACGACUCUCUCAUCCUAGUGUUUGGCUUGAACCCGGCAUCAUGUUGAGGUUGUCCUGCAGCAGGAAUCUGGUCGAAGCCACCGAGCUACCAAAGCAGAGGAACACCUGAAAAUCAGUGGAGUACCCGUUUGAUCGGAGCUGAACAUGGAGAGGAACCUCAUGCCCUUUCAGUAAUGAGCUCAACAUUAAGUAGGGUUCCCUUUUUUGGGGGAAGAAAAAACGCCGUCAUAGCUCAAACGAAAGGAAAAAAGAACAAAAACUUAAACUCUACCUUGCCAUGUCGUCGUAGAGAGCACAAGCUCAUGUGAUAGCUAAUGUGACGUUUCAGCACCACCACGUAGGAAAAGCGCCGUGAAUGCGACGACAUUCUUUUUUCUAAAAUCAUUUAGUAGCUCUUUGUUGCCACUAAUUUGAAGAAAAAUAAAAUCAUCUAACAAGGAGUAUACUUCACAUAUACAUACCGUCUUUCUUCCUCCUAAUCCUCCCAGACCUGAGAAGAAGGUAGCGGCGCCAGCACCGCAGGGAGGGAUACAGUAUGAAUCCAGGCCCUUGGAUAGAGAUCUAAAGGUCUAGAAAAAUCCUAGCAUCAUCCACUUAGAAAACAGUUUUGCUGCUAUCUGACAGUCAAAAUGAAGCCAUGGGUAAAGAUUUAACUGGAGCAGGACGCGUUUGGCCCUAGACUUGCUUAACUUGACCUAGACAAUAACACAUAUACGAAAAUGACUCCAUACAUACACCUAUAUACUCCCUCCGUUCCGAAAUAAUUGUCUUUCUAGCCAUCUCAAAUUGACUACAACAUACGGAUGUAUGUAGACAUGUUUUAGAGUGUAGAUUCACUCAUUUUGCUCCGUAUUUAGUCACUUGUUGAAAUCUCUAGAAAGACAAUUAUUUCGGAACGGAGGGAGUAUAAUACUAUUACAAGUCAAUGAAGUCGUCUAAGUGAAAACGAGACAUGCAUAUACAUAGGCACCACAAUUAUUGCCGUCAAUCAACGUUCAAAAUAAGCAGGUGUGUCGUUGCAGUAUUUGGCGCUUGUACCUGUUCCCGUCGAGACGAUCCAUCCGAUGUACCUAGCCCGUAUUUCGUCCGCGUACGUGUGGUGUAUUUUUUUUGCGGGGUAUCAGGGCUGAUUACACCUGGCCUAGGAGAUCCACGACGAUUCCACAAUGCUUUUCUUUUUGCGGGUAAUUCCACAAUGCUAACUGGCAGAGAAGAAGAAAAAGACUUUUUUGGCCCCACAGUGGUGUGCACUGACCAGUACACUAGUUUGAACAUUUCAAAAAAAAAAGCAAUGCAUGAGUAUAUCUCUAGGUCAUCGAUUUUGACCAACGAAAUGCCAAUUAUAUAUCAUCAGUUUCCGAAAAAAAUAUCGUAAGAAUAUACUACUACUGCAUUAGAACUAGAAUCGAAUAAAAUUCAACGGUAUAAAUUUAUUAGCAUAUACCCCCUCCGUUCCUAAAUACUUGUCUUUCUAGAGAUUUCAACAAGUGACUACAUACGGCGCAAAAUGAGUGAAUCUACACUUUAAAAUAUGUCUACAUACAUCCGUAUGUUGAGUCCAUUUGAAAUGCCUAGAAAGACAAGUAUCUGGGAACGGAGGGAGUAUAACUUAAGAUUUGUUGUUGAUGACAGAAGAGAGAUAGUAGUUUGUGUAGGGUGUGCACCACGUAUAGUUAGUUGUUGAUUCCCCGCUCUCUUCCCGUGAUCUAGAGACUGUAAAAAAUAACUUGGACAAUAAAUCGUUAGUAACUAAUUUUGAUGGAAAUAUGUUCCUCCAAUAAAAAUAGUCAUACCAUAAANNNNNNNNNNNNNNNNNNNNNNNNNNNNNNNNNNNNNNNNNNNNNNNNNNNNNNNNNNNNNNNNNNNNNNNNNNNNNNNNNNNNNNNNNNNNNNNNNNNNNNNNNNNNNNNNNNNNNNNNNNNNNNNNNNNNNNNNNNNNNNNNNNNNNNNNNNNNNNNNNNNNNNNNNNNNNNNNNNNNNNNNNNNNNNNNNNNNNNNNNNNNNNNNNNNNNNNNNNNNNNNNNNNNNNNNNNNNNNNNNNNNNNNNNNNNNNNNNNNNNNNNNNNNNNNNNNNNNNNNNNNNNNNNNAGAACUAAAAUACAUCUAAAUACAUCCAUACCUGCGACAAGUAAUUCGGGACGGAGGGAGUAUAUGGUAAUCAAUGCAGGAAAAAAAAAUCCAAGAAUACAUGAUUAAGAGAAAUCCUAAAAAGAUCUACAUUUGCAAUAGAUUGGGCACUUAGUUUUAGUGCUCCUAUAUGUAGUAUUGAAUGUGUAACUUAUGAGAAUUUACUUUGAGAACUGUAAUCUUAAAGAAUGUCCAUAUGUUGGUUGUUUGUUGCAUAGGUCAUUGCAUAACUUCAGCAUGGCUUUUCUUAGUUACAAGGCUUUUCGCUAUCUCGAAGGAAAAAUCCGAUUGAUUGAAACCUCUUGAGUUGAUCUUUUGAAAUGCUUUUCUUCUCGGUCAAGACAAAAAUAGAUUCUUCCGCAAAAAAAAAAAGAUUGUUGAUUCGUACGUUGACAGCGCCUACAACCUUGAUCUCCAUCUCCCCCGUCUUUGCCAGCUUGCGGAGCAACCUCAUCUCGAAUGUUGUCCACUUCCCUUGGCGAAUACUUCCGAACUUUUUUUCUGUUUGGAAAUGUAAUAGCAGCCAGAUGACUCGUCACAUUUUCAUGUUUACAUUUUUAUAGAAAACAUUUUGACAUAAUUCCUGAAUUUAAUGUUCAUCCCGAGAGAGAAAGAGAGCGUGCCUCCAAGAGUUCGCUGCUCUUGGAAAUACAGACCAAUUUGAAAGCGAAAAAAGUGUGUCCAAUGGAUACUUCUCGGGAAUAGCACGCGUUUUGCGUCUUUGCUUUUAUGGGAUAGGGCAUAGAUCAUUUCAAGCAAUCUUUUGCCUUUCUCCUGGCUUUCUAAAACUUCCAAUUUUUAUAGAUUUGCAAUCCGCUUCUAAUAGCUCUCUUCGGUCAUUGUCUUUUAGAUCCAAUUCUGUGUGAGUGACACCAAUUCAAAGAAUUAUCAUAGGAAAUUUGAGGAUAGUAAUACUAACUAAUUUUUGUAAGUUGGUUGUUUGACCCACAUGAUUGACAUGUGACAACUUGCUCGGUGUUGUCUUUCAACAUUUUUGCACGUUAUCUUCUGAUAGUGGACGCAAAGAUUAAAAUCAUGGGAGAAGCAAUUUCACGGCGGCCUCUCCCAACAUCUAUAGCGGCCAUCGUAGCAGGUAAUAGCAGCAAAUAGCAGCAACUUUUCAGGUGGUAGAGAUGAUUUCUAGAGGUUUUUACGAUUUUGGAGCUGUUUAGAGGGACUUGUGGAGGAUUUCGUGACAGCAGCCAUAGCGUAGCGGCGAGGCUCCCAAGCACUAUAGUGCAGCUAUCACGGCUAUUUUGCGGGAGAUUUAAUUUUAUGGAGGAACCCAAUCCAAUUUGAAUCGAAUGGGGAAAAAUACUCUCUCUCCGUUCAAUAAUGUAGUGUAUAUAAUUUUUUUGAAAAAGUCCAACAUCACAAAUUCUGACCAAGUUUGUACAGAAAAAUAUUUACAUCUAAAAUGUUAAAUAUAUAUCACUUGUUUCAUCAUAAGAUAUAGUUUCAUAUUUAUUAUAUUUGGUAUUUUAGAUAUAAAUAAUUUUCUAUACAAACUUGGCCAAAGUUUACAAAGUUUAUUUUUUUUUAGUCUAUAUAUGCACUACAAUAUGGAAGCGGAGGGAGUAUAUAAGAGUAACUUUUGUUAGUUACAAGGUAUUUUGACACAACCUCUUGGAUUGAUUUCAACGUUUCUCUACUCUACACCUUUCAUUUAAAUAAUUCGAUCGUUGGUUCUUUCGUUGCCAACACCUCCGGCGGGCCUCCAUCUCCAUCUUCCCCGUCCUUGUCAGCUCGGCGGAGGCAACCUUGACCUCGCACUCCCCUCCAAUGCCGUCCACUUCCCCGACGACUACUUCACCACCCUGCCCCACCGCGACGGAGCGCGCACGCUCAAUUGCUCCCAUUGCUCGCGCCGGUCAUCGCCGUGAUGAUCGCGCUGGCCGCGUUAGUCUCGGUCCUCCUCCUCCUCGCCGGCAACGUGCUCCUUGACGCCGACAUGAACGGCAAGCUCAGCGACUUCGGCCUCGCGCGGCUCUACGACCACGGCGGCGACCCGCAGACGACGCGCGUGGUGGGCACGCUCGGGUACAUCGCGCCGGAGAUGAGCAAGACCGGCAAGGCCAGCACGAGCUCCGACGUCUUCGCCUUCGGAGCCUUCCUGCUGGAGGUGGCGUGCGGCCGGAGGCCCGUGGUAUUCAGCAACAACGAUUCCGAAGACUCGCCGCCGUCGCCGGGGCUCGUGGAGCUCGUCCUGGAGCACUGGAAGGCCGGGAAGAUCACGGAGGCGAGGGACCCGAGGAUGGGCAAGUGCGACGAGGACGAUCUCGAGCUGGUCCUCAAGCUCGGGCUGCUCUGCUCGCAUCCCGACCCGUUGCGGCGGCCGGGCAUGAGGCAGGUGGUGCAGAUGCUGGAAGGCGCGGCACCGGCGCCAGAGACGUCGCCGGAGGAUCUUGGAAACAGCAUGACGCUGUUCGAGCACAGCGAGGCGUUCGACGGGUUCGUCGGAGUGUCGUUCCCGUCGACGUCAGGGUUCACCACCGCCACCAUGCGGACGUCGGCGUCGAACUCCCCUGACGAGAAACGGCAGCUCCUCUUCAGCUGAAAGUUCUCUUCAAUGUGGGAGCUAGUUUGCAACUGCGGUUUCCCAUAGACACAUACAUACACUGUUGACAGUAACAUCAGAAUUACAGGCAGCAACAGAAAUGACAGCUGAUUCAGAAAAGAGGUCGUGAAAGCGUGGUCAUGAGUGUCAGUACAACUACAGAUCGAUGCAUGUACAGCUAUAUAACUACACAGGCAAAAUCGGCAGGAAGAGCUUUACAGGGAGACGCGCUAACGGUGUCGUGGCGUGCUCCGAUCCAAUCCACGGCGCGGACAUGGAAGAGGCUAGAGGAUGAAUAUCAGCAGGCA
rnacentral:lncRNA from 1 species